rnacentral:lncRNA from 1 species
AGCACACUUGAGAAAUUAGAGCCAAAUAGAAAUGUGAAGGAUCUUCAGAUUGAUGGUUAUGGAGGUUUAAGGUUUCCGGAGUGGGUAGGAGAGUCCUCUUUCUCAAAUAUAGUGUCCUUGAAGCUCAGUAGAUGUAAAAACUGCACCUCCUUACCACCGCUCGGGCAAUUAACUUCUUUAAAGGAUCUCACAAUUGAAGCAUUCGAUAAAGUUGAGACUGUGGACUCUGAGUUCUAUGGGAAUUGUACUGCUAUGAAGAAGCCAUUUGAAUCCCUCAAAACAUUACGGUUUGAAGGGAUGCCAGAAUGGCGCGAGUGGAUUUCAGACGAAGGCAGCCGGGAAGCCUUCCCUCUUCUUGAGUUUCUUUCAAUCAAAGAAUGCCCCAACCUUACAAAGGCCCUACCUGGUCACAACCUUCCACGUGUAACAAGACUUAAAAUUAAAGGAUGUGAGCAGCUCGCGACUCCACUUCCUAGGAUUCCUAGGCUGCACUCUCUCUCUGUUUCUGGAUUCCACUCCCUAGCGUCCCUACCCGAGGAAAUUGAGCAAAUGGGUUGGUCACCCUCUGAUUUAGGAAAAAUUAAUAUCAAGGGCUGGGCUUCUCUCAAAUGCAUCUCACUGGACUUGUUCCCCAAGCUAACUACUCUUUCUAUCUCUGACUGUCCAGAUCUCGAAUCACUAUGUGCACAUGAAAGACCCCUCAAUGAUCUCACCUCUCUCCAUUCUUUGGAAAUCGAGCAGUGCCCUAAAUUAGUUUCAUUUCCCAAAGGAGGGUUACCUGCUCCAGUCUUAACAGAACUUACGUUACGACAUUGCAGAAAUUUGAAGCAGUUGCCUGAGAGGAUGCCUUCCCUCCUUCCAUCCCUUGACUUUUUGGGAAUAUUUGGUUGUUCAGAAGUUGAGUUGUGUCCAGAAGGCGGUUUUCCCUCCACAUUACACUUUCUUUGGAUUCGUAAUUGCAACAAACUCAUUGCAGGCCGCAUGCAAUGGGGCUUGCAAACGCUCACUUCUCUUUCAGUGUUUUUUAUUGGUGAAGACGAAAAUGUUGAAUCCUUCCCUGAAGAGAUGCUGCUGCCCUCAAGUCUUACAUAUCUUAACAUCUCUGACCUACAACACCUGAAAUCUCUUGACUACAAGGGGCUUCAACACCUCACCUCCCUUAAACAAUUGAAUAUACAUGACUGCCCUCUGCUUGAGUCAAUGCCAGAAGAAGGGUUGCCCUCCUCCCUUUCUGCUCUUUUUAUUGUAGAUUGUCCUAUGCUGGGUGAAAGUUGUGAAAGAAAAGGUAAAUAUUGGCCCAAGAUUUCUCACAUUCCUAUCCUAAGUAUUAACCGAGCAAAAAGUAGCUUUUCUUUCAAUCGUCCAACAUAUUUUUUGAGGUAUUGCUCCUAGAAAGCUGUAUGUUUUUAUUUGUUGUAUGUUGAAAUACAGAUAAUUUCUUCCAUAAUUAUUGUCUCUCAUUCAUCUCCAUAAAUAAUAAUCAUCAUUCUAUUUCAAUAAUAAUCAUCAAAUGCGGCAAAUAAACAUCACAUGCUUCAGAUUUUGAACUGCCAGCGCCGUCCUUAAAAAACAAGUGUCCAUCUUAAAAGAUUAAAAAAUAUUUAAGUAAUCUGCAACAGAUUUUUCAUUGUUGACGCGGCAAAAUCAAAAUUCAAAAUUUAAGUAAUCAAAAUUCAAAAAUCUCCGUUCUCUCCUUUUCUCCUUUUCCGCAUCUCCAAAAAUUCAAAAUCCAAAAACUUUUGAUUUAUCUAUUUUAUUAUUACUUAACUUUUCUUGAAGUUUACUUUCAUAAAAGAUCUUUUAUAGAUAUAAAAAGAAGAGAUAAUAUAAAAUUCAUCCGUAUUGGAAUCACAAUUCAGAAUCAAGUGAAAGUGGCCAAUGUCACUGAAGAGAAAGGAUUAAAGCACAGAAAGUCAUCAUCUUGAGAACUCACAGCAAAGAGUUCAUUGUUUUGCAGUAGAUACGUAGCUAUAUUAACAACAAUACUUCCAGCAUGCACAAAUGCGACUUCUUGAUGGUUACGCUGCUAAAGACAUUUACAAAUCCCCAUCAAUACUGGUGUUUAUUCCUCAUGAUGAUCCAGUGAGCUCACAAUAAAAGAAAACCUCGGCAUUACUAGUAAAUCGUCACUGCAAGCAUGGAAGAGAUUCAGGUAGGAAUUACCCUUGUCUUCAUUGAGAGGCUUUAACCUCCCUAGCUCCUUCAUCAGCAGGCCCAUUGUUUGAUGCAUCCUCUGAAGCGUCUAAGCAAGGAUUGCUUUUACACUGACUUACAGGCUGAGCAUUGGUCAAGAGACUAGAAAGUUGAGACCCCUUUUGCGAAAAGUUUGGUUUACCUUUCGGAGUCUCAGACAGGCUUCCCGUUGACAGCUUUACUAGGCCAUUGUCUUGUGCUCACACGGGAGCUUAAUUGAAAAAGGUGAUUCAGGUGUCUCAGGAUGCUUCCCAGGAAUAUCCAUCGGUCUAUGAAACAGCAAAUGAGCCACAGUCCGGUCUACGGGAUUUGUCUCUGUUUCCACCUCAGGCAUCUUAACCACCCUGCAGUAUACUCAUAAAAUCCAUGAGGAAAAUGACAGGCAAGUUUGAGAUUGCCAUACUCUAAACAAAUUGAUAAACAAAUUGAUAAACACUUGAUUAAUAAUUUUGUGCAUACAAAUUGAAUAAUUUGAAAUGGGAAGGACGAGAUGUAAAGGAACAAACCCAUUGGAACAAGGAACAAUCACAUUGUCGCUUACAACAAAAAAUCGAGUUUCAGAUCAAAAGAGCGUAUGGUUUUGGCUGGAAGUGUCCCAUUGAGACAUAGAUGAGCCGAUUAGAAGAUGAUUUGAGUUCUUAAAUUUUCUUGCUUAAAAUGUAAUGUAACAUGAAUCUGCAGAUGAUCAUUAUAUUAGAAGGGAAAUUUAAUUUUGCCCUAUUUAUCUAAAGUUGUGCAAGUUCUCUGCAUUGAUGAUUUCAGUGAAUCUGUACAGAUCUUGUUUUCCUUCUAUUUGUCCUUGAAUAAACUUAUUGCACUUGCUUAACAUUCUUUGUCUCUCUCUCUUAGUUAAAUCUAGCAAAAUUUAUCAGGUAUGUUGUGCCACUCAUUUAGACUUGGAUGUGCGUGUUUAGCUCUCCUUUUCGGAUUAAGGUGAUUAUGCACAAAUUCACUGGAAUCAACAUUGCAGAAAACUUGCAUAGAUUUUGUUAAUAUUGGAAAAAUUAAAUUUCCUUUUCUAAUUAAAUGAAAAUCUCUACUAAAUAUUAUGCUAUUUGAAUUGUCACCUCAUGACUACUUGCUGCACUGCACUCAUGAAUGCUGCACCAGGGUAAAGCUACAAAUGUCAGUUUUUAAUAUCUGCCUCUACCUAGCUCGGCCUACAAUACCAAAGUUUCUCUCCUACAAAUGCCAGUUUAAUAUCUGCCUCUACCAUAACAGAACCAGUGGAAGCGAACUACUACAUAUUUGAUCAACAAGGUCAAAUUCAGUCAAGUUUUUAAGGAAAUCCAGUGAAAGAGGAACCUAAAAUUUUCUGUUUAGAUUUUCUUCUACUUCUAAGAACAAGCGCGGCCUUAAUUGAAUUGUUUCAGUCACUAUUCCUCCAUUGUAAAUAGAGGAUACCGCUUUCAAUAUUUAUUUCUAGAAUUAGAAUGGAAAACAGAAAAUGGUGAUGGCAUUAAAAGAUCCUAAUCUAACAUUUCUAUAGAGCAAAAAUGUUUAAAAAAAGAGAGGAUAGAUUAAAUUUGAAAACAGAAGCAUGAGAAAUGCAUUGCCUUAACCAACCUUCUUUGACUGCUGGUUUCCUCUUUUGCAGCAACUUGUUCGUCCCUGCUACUAUUGUUUGUACUGCCAGUAUCACUAGCAUAAUGCCUUUGCAUUGCACUUUGAGCCAGCCGGAACAAGCUAUCCCGAAUACAAAGUCUAAUUCUGACAUCCAACUGUUGUAAAACAUUGGUUUGGAAUCGUAACCAAUUCUUGAAGCAUGUAGAGUACUGUGUCCUCCAUUGAAUAAUCAUUAACCGCCAGAGAGACUGUAUUGGAAUCGUCUUGCUCAAUAGGCGAGUUUGGGUCAAAUGAAGCAAGUGUACUUAGAUCCUCUACUUCAGGGCCAGCUCCUUCAACAUGCUGAAUUUGAUUUUCUUGGGAACACUUUUGAUGAACAAGCUGCUGCUGCUGUUUCUGAAUGGCAAGCAUUGCCUGCAUUUGUUGCCGCCUCCUUAAUUUUUCAAUCUUUUCCUGAGGUGUCAUUCUCUGGGGUUUCACUGGACAGUCAGCUAACUUGUUUAUAGGAUUUGCAUUGCCUGAAACUUCAUAACCAGAAAUUUUAGGUCGAUGAUUAAAUGACUAGAAAUUUUGUUGGAAAGUCAGAAAACUUUAACAGGAUUCGCAUUACCUGAAGAAACUUCAUAACCAGAAGCUAAAGGUUGAUGCUUAAAAUCCCCAGACUGAAUGUGGGACAACCCAGGCAUAGAAUAUGGAUUUGUAAUACUCGUAUGCAGAAGGGGCCACAAAUGGAUUGGAUAUCUGCUGGUACUGCAACUGCUCGGAACCCUGUAGCUGCUUCUGUUGGCUGAGAAUUGAAGGGGGAGAAGAUUGCUUAAUUUGGGGUGCUAAAUGAUCCUUAAGUUGACAGGCUGGGAUUCCAGAUGAAGUCCAUUUUCCAUAAAAAUCUUGGUAUGAUUUCAGUUCACCUUUUUCUUCCAGUUUUUCCCGACCUUUCAAGAUCUUCUUUUGCCUGUGAGUCUGAUCACAGAACUAUAAACAUAUGAAUAGACAAAUUACUUAGAAUAGAUCAACGUUUUAACCAUCUAGACCUGCAGGGGAGAGUGACUAAGGCACAGUUAGUAUUUUAAUUAAGUACAUGGUUUGUAAGGAUAAAUUCAAUGUUAUUUUUUUUUUUUAACUGUAACUUAUGAUCCAAAGGGCUUCUAUUGUUCAGAAUAUAUUGAGGUAUUAGCUAAACUAGGCAAAGCAAACAGAAUUUGCAUGUCCCUGGGAAGAGUGGAUGUCAUGCUAGAAAUAUAAAUAACUGAUGCCUCCUGAAUUUUCACAUGUUAUUCCUUUCUCCUUCCUACUCACAGAAAACCACACAAUGGCUUUACUUUAGGCAAUCGAUAUCAUGGUUAAGUCAUGGGAAGCUGAAAUGACAUCUCUGUCAGGCAUUUCAGCUUCCCAUGACUUAACCAUGAUAUCGAUUCCCAUCUUGAUAAUUAUAGAAGUGAUGACUAAAUCAUGUAAAUCCAUAUUCACCCAACAUCCAAGUUUAUUCUCAUUCCAAAAAAUAAAACUAAAAAUAAUAGCAAGAAAUAUGAAGAGACGAAGAGGAAUUUAAAUAAUAUAAUUUCUCUUUUCUGUCGCCAUUUUCCAUUCCAGAGAAGUACUCGGGAAGUCUUAAUAAGUUCAAGUGUAAGGUAACUUUUACCCUUCCCAGCUCUAAUUAGGUUUCGCUGUCCCUCCAAUCUAAUUUAAGAUCUAAUAUGAGGAAACCACACUGUAUUAGUGAAAGGAUCACAAUAUCAAGAUUUUCCAACUUCAAUUCACUGAUAUAACUUUUCUUGAAUCCUGGACAAAAGAACUUAGAACAUCAAAAGAUCAUAGCAGGAUUCUAAAAAACAAAGAUUGUAUUUGGUGCUUAUUGAGUCUAAAAGUUAUCCUGGAUGAAAAGGGUAAAAAUCAGUAACAUGUCUGGUUCAGUAUCAAGAUUUUGAAAAUAUCAAAAGGAAGAAAAAAAAAAGGUACCUUGUUUGCUAAUUCAUUUGGAAAAGCACCAUUUUCCUCUGUCAGUUGAGAGUUAGCCGCCGUGUUCUUUCCCACAACAGCCAAAUCUGUCUGCAAAAGCACAAUAAAUAAAUAAAAAUAAAUGCUAAGCUUCUCUCAGCUCCUGCACUUGAGCAUGGGGCAUUAAUAAGUGAACUCAUUACUGAAAAUUGAGUUGCUAUACCUGCUCCUUCAGUAUAGGCUUGUUUUUACCUUCAUCAUAUUCUACAUGAUCAAGGCUUGCCUGAGUAUUCUGCAGACCAUGAGAUGCAGGAUCGUUCAUUUUUCCAUAGCCAAGGGUAAACAGCCGGUCCUCUUCUUGUGCAUACUCUUCUCUCGAAGCCACAGAUAUUGGAAAGGGCUUUACCGGGCUUUUAGUUAUAUCUUUAGAAGAAGACUGUUAGAGGUCUAGGCGCGGGGCGCGCCAACGAAGGCACAUUGCCUAGAAUUCGGCAGCGAUGGACUGCGGCAGAAACGAAUUCGGCAGGCAGCGUGCAUGGUCUGUGCAAGUCUUUGAGCUGGCGACUUGGCAUGGACGUGGGGCUUAGACAAUGGACCUUCUAAGUCAGCAGCUGAUGCAGCAGAAAUUGGCAAUUGGGGGCUGCCAAGUAGACAGCCAGGAAAUGGGGGAAGUGGCAGCUUCAUGGGAAGCAAAACGUGGGAGCAUAAAAUGGGGUGUUCUCCAUGCCACUAAGUCCUGGAAACAUGGGAUCAUGGAUGAGAGGUAGUGCUCCACUAUAUCCUGAAAACAUGGGAUCAUGGGUUCGAGAAAGUGCUCCACUAGGUCCCGAAAAUAGGGGUUAAUGGGGGGGAGCUUGCUGCUCAUAUUUGUCUAUAAAUAGGCUGCCAAGCCUCUGUUGUGGAGCUUGCGAUUUGUGCAUAGCACACACCAUAUUGNNNNNNNNNNNNNNNNNNNNNNNNNNNNNNNNNNNNNNNNNNNNNNNNNNNNNNNNNNNNNNNNNNNNNNNNNNNNNNNNNNNNNNNNNNNNNNNNNNNNAAAGAACUGGUCACAAGAGGUUUACAUACCACUUUGAUUACUGACUCAGCAGUUUUUGCCAUGAUUUCCCGUGUGAACAUGGUAUGAGAGAGUUUAGUUUUUUUCUUUUCUUGUCUAUUUUUUUGGUAUUGGUCUGCUUACUAUUUUGAUCCAUCUUAAAUUUUUUAUGGAAAGGUUAUAGUUGGAGCUCAUGCUGUAAUGGCCAAUGGUGGUGUGAUAGUACCUGUUGGGCUGAAUAUGGUUGCACUUGCAGCUCAAAAGCAUGCUGUACCUUUUGUCGUGCUUGCAGGCAGUCACAAGGUAAUUUAGCACAAUAAUAUCCCUUAGAGUUUUGGUAGUGAGCAAGUAAACAAACUGCCAUAUUUGAAUUGCUUGUUCUGUUUUUGCUAUUGAAUGGCAUGCUGCUGUCAUACUGCUUUACUUGUGACGGAAAAUAAUGGCAACUAUAUAGCAAUAAAUGGAAUGUCUCUUCUGUGGCCCAGAAGAUGUUUGUCAUUUCCUUCUCUGCAUCUUUUUUCUGUUAGUGUUGGUGUUUGUUGCAGGGCCAUGUGCCAGCUCAUACUGACCUAAUGAAACCCAAAUAGGCUAUAAUUUGAUUGAACUACAAGCAUAAGAAUUGCAAGUUAUAAAAAAUAAGUCCCGCCUUUGGUGCUCCUAAAAUCUUAACAUUUUGUCUUUUUCUAACUUGUUGCGUUCUUCUGAACUCAGAUCAUUGUUUAUUAUAUUUAUUUCUAGAUUUUUUUUUCUAAUGUUUAAUUUAUAGAAAUCUAGUACACAUAACAGGGAUGAAAAUGCCCAGGGAGGACAGAAAUUUUUUAUGAAUCCAAACACGAAGACAAAUGAAGAAAAACAAAUAUGGAAUUUCUUUGUUUAAUUGUAACUGGAUGGUGUCAAUAGUUAAUCCUUGUGUGUUUUGUCUCUGAUUUUGUGGCCUUGCUAAUUAUACAGUCAGUAAAACGACUUGGAUAAUGUUAAUGACUUUUGUGAUGGUAGACUUUGAAUUUUAAAUACUGUUCUGAUUCUUGCUUUAAUCCUUCGUACACUUGGCUGUUUUUCUUGGAUGGAAGCUGUGUCCCUUGUACCCUCACAAUCCUGAGGUCUUACUAAAUGAAUUGAGAUCUCCAUCCGAGCUUCUGGAUUUUGGAGAAUUCUCAGAUUGCUUAGAUUUUGGGAGCGGUACGGGCUCUCCUCUUCUUCAUGUUGUCAAUCCAGCAUUUGAUUAUGUGCCACCAAAGCUUGUUAGUCUGUUUAUCACUGACACGUAAGUUCUAGUACUUUUGAGGACAUCUUUUAAUGUUAACCACUGAUGCAAAUCAUUGAUUAGAAUAAUACUUAUUCCACUAAACAGUGUUAGGUCUCUGGUGCCAAAUCAGAUGGAUUUGAUAUAAUUAUGUCAAGUUCCAACUUCCAAAUCUUAAAUUAUUUAUAUUUUCAUCUCAUGCAAUUCUAACCGCUGUUAAUUUCUAAUUACUUCACAGUGGAGGGCACAAUCCAUCAUACAUGUACCGACUCAUUGCAGAUUAUUACUCCGCCGAUGAUUUGGUGGUGCGAAGAAGGGUUGCUUUGGGAAAUUGAGCUCAAGUCACUUUUGUUUACAAUAUUAUCUGUAAGUUUCCUCAUUCAUGUUGCUUUGUUAAUGGAAGAAUAGAGUUUGCCAAGUACAUACAGAUUUUCACCAUGAAGAAAGUUUGCUAUCUGAAGCACAAAUCAUGCUAUCUUUCUUGUAGUCUUUCACUGAACAAAUGGAAAUGGAAUCUGUUAGUUGCUAGAAUGACAUUUCUCAUCAUCUCAAUUCCCUUUCAGUUAUUUCUUGUCUUUCUCUGUAUGAAUUUGCUGCCCCCUCCCCCCGCACUGUUGCUGAAGUUGUUUUCAUUUCUCUCAUCUACCGUGGCUGAUCUCAAUUCAGAUUGCUUUUCACAAAUUAUGCAUCGCAAAAGGAUAAAUGUUUGGGUAAUGCCUGCCCUUGUGUUGUAUAUACAUUGCGAUUCCAUUACGGAACAUAAGCUGUAUCCAUAGUGUCCACAUGAGGGUAUCUCAUGACCACUUAAAACUCAACUUCUUUGUUUCUCUUUUGUUGCAAUUAUGUUAAAUUAUGAUAACUUAUAAUGCUUAGUAAGUGGUUGCAAAUACCAAUAACUUCAACUUUCUUGGGACAUAAUAGGGCCAUUGCUUGUUGUCGCCGCUUUUCUGAUAUUUUCCUGUUUUCACCUUUCAGGUAGUUUAGGAGUUACCAUGGUAAGAAGUGAUGGAUGAGGAUAGAGUAGUUUUGUCUCAGUGUAUGGAAGCAUUUAACCAUUGUUUAUGCUGGAAGAGAAGCAAACUUGUUGAUAGGGGGCAAUGCGAGGGGUAGACUAGCCAGGAAAUGACCAUUUUUUUUUAUUAUUAUUGAAGCAAAGGGCUAAGAGCUAAGAGCUACACUGAGAAGGAACGAAUGCCAUGAUGGUUGUAGCAAGUUAUAAACUAUGUAUGCCGUGUCAAAACUGUGAAAAGGAAAGGAAAAAGGAGCAACAGGUUAUAUCGAGUUUAAUCGAAAACUUGAGAACAAUUUGCACGUGGAGAAUGCGAUGGUUAGUGGGCUGUGUCGUGUGAGCACAUUUGAAAGUACUAUGGUUUAUUAGUUUUUGUUAGGAGGAGUUUUCGGUUUCCAAUACCUGAAGUUUUUUUUUUUUAAAUCUUUGUAUUUAUAUUUACUUCUCCUUUUAUCUUUAAUUUCUCAUGAAUAUGAAUAAAAGUACCAGAUUAAUUUGAAAAACUUGAGCUUGAUUAGGGUUGGGUUUUAAGAGACUCUUUUCAAGUGUGUUUUUUAAAAUAUAUUUUUAUUUAGAAAUGUAUUAAAAUAUUUAUUUUAUUUUAUUUUUGAUAUUAAUAUAAUUAACAAAGUAAAUUUAAAAUUAAAAAAAUAUUUUUUUAAAAAAACAUGAUAUAAUUGUAAAAUUAAAAAAAAAAUAUUGAUAAAGUCAAAACCUAGUUGAUCAAUAGGGUUGAUUUAUGUUCUAGUUGCCAAAUAAACCCAGUUCAAACUUGUUGAAUCAAUAUUAAGGAAAUUGGAAAUUUGAAGUUCAAAUUUAUUUGAUCAACAUGAAGUACAUUUUUUUUAAAUGAAAGAUGUUUUAAAAAAGUAAUUAGCUUGAUACUAUGUGAGUUUAUCCAAUAACCUAAUAAUUUGGUUUUUUAGGAGCAGUUCCAAACCACUCUGAUAACAUCCAUGUUGAAUAAGGAGAGAGACUCUUGAUCACCUGUAAAUUCUUCGGAAUGUUCAAACUGACAAAAAAAGAGAGUAUAGAAGUUGAUUUGAUGAAAUAUUAAAAUAUAGGGACCAAACAUGAUUUUUAUCAAAAUAGUAGUCACUCACAUACACGUGCUUUCACCUAGCAAGCCGGCAACACAAUUCCCAGUCCAACUUCCAUCCUUGCCGGUGACGGAAUAUAGCCCCCACCAAUCACAUUCCUCCACCUCAUCCUUUCCCUUCUGUUCCUCUCCCAUCACUUGUCUCCUCUUCACCAUCACCGUUUCUUUCCCGUCAACCAUAAAAAACCCAACACCUUGAGAAAAAAAAAAAAAAAACCACCCCCUGCCCUCUCUCAUCAGAAUCAUCAAAAUCAGAUCUGAUUGUUAUUUCAUCGACUGCCGAUCAUGGAAGACGACGAUGAGAUACAGUCACACUCAAACACCACCGAAUAUUCCUCACCGUCACCACCACCACCGAACGGAAGAAUCACCGUAUCUGCUCCCGCCGCCGUGCAUCCACAGCCGGUACCACCGCCACCGCAACAGAACAACAAGAACCGCUUAGCACUUGUUUUGCCGACGAAGCCGAAAGUGAACGGAGGCGGAGGAGGAGGAGGAGGGAGAGAGGACUGCUGGAGCGAAGGAGCAACGGCGGUGUUGAUCGACGCCUGGGGAGAAAGGUACUUAGAGCUAAGCAGAGGGAAUUUGAAGCAGAAGCAUUGGAAGGAGGUAGCGGAAAUUGUAAGUAGUAGAGAGGAUUAUUCUAAGUCUUCGAAAAUUGAUAUUCAAUGUAAGAAUAGAAUUGAUACCGUGAAGAAAAAGUAUAAAUUGGAAAAAGCUAAAAUUGCUUCAGGUGGAGGGCCGAGUGGUUGGCCUUUCUUUGAUCCUUUGGAUAGAUUAAUUGGCUCCACAGCGAGGAUUCCUGUUGUUGGAAAUGGUAAUGUGGGUGGUAAAAUUCCUACUAGGGUUCGUAGUGGUAGUAGGAGGGGUGGUGUGAAUCAGUAUCAUUUUCGGAAUCAGAAUGUGAAAAUUCGGAUUCUGAAACAUGAGGAGGAUGAGGAUGAUGAGGAGGAGGGUGAGGAAGAGGAGGGGGGUGCGGAAUCGGAUGAUAGUUUUCCGCCGAUGAAGAAGAGGAGAGUGGUGGUGGAGAGGGAAGUGAGGGGGAAAGUGGGGAAGGAAAAAAGAGGAGGAGGGUGGGGGAAUUCGAUCAGGAUGUGACGCAAGCAAUGGUGAAGUUUGGGGAAGCCUAUGAGCAAGCUGAGAGUGCCAAGUUGCAGCAAGUGGUGGAGAUGGAGAAGACGAGGAUGGAGUUCGUGAAAGAGUUGGAGUUGCAAAGGAUGCAGUUUUUUAUGCAGACACAGAUGGGGAUUUCGCAGUUGAAGAACGCGAGAAGGGGAGGGAAUGCUACCAGUAAUCAUUAUCAUCAUCAAUACCAUCGUCAUCAUACUGGUAACAAUAUUAAUGCUAGCAAUAAUGUUAACAACAGUGAUAGUGAUAAUUAAGUGAAUGUAGAGUUGUUGGUUAGUGUUAAAAUUUUAGAAUCUUAGAUUUUAUUAGGUUUGUGUGUUUUGUAGUAGAAGAAUGCCCCAUUAAGGGUGGAGAUUUAUAAUGUUAGCUGUGUUGCUUAUGGUGUUUAAUUUGGAGUACAGUGAUGUGAUUUCAUACUUAUUUGUGUCAGCAUGCAUUUUGCAAAGGGCACUAGCUUGAUUAAUAGUUUUUUAGAGAGUCUGUUAACGUAGCAGAUGUGAAGUUUACAUUUCAAGGGACGAGUUCUAGUUCUACAGUUACUGCUUUAAUUUGUCAGCGGCAUCUUUACUCAAUUUCAGCAAGGGAUUGUCUGAUGUUCAUCUAUAAUAGCAGCAGAUAACUAAUUGUAGCUGAAGAAAAGCUAUUAUAAAGAAUGGUAUGCGAGAGCGAUUUCAGAGGGACACAUCAAACGGGAGAUAAUUUCUGUCUCUUUUCAGCACUGUCUCCUCUCCCCUCUCCCCUCUCUCUUCUUGCUUCCUCCCCAUGAACCCGCAUCCUCCUUCCCUUCUGUUCUUUCAAUCUAUUGGAGAAGAUGUUGUAUUGGUGGUGAAACUGCUUGCCUACAAUAUUUGUGUUCUGACCUUCAUUGGUGUUCUAUGGCUUUGUUGCCGCCUUCUAGCCUUUUGGUGUUGCACGGUGCUGCUGCUUUUUGGCUGUUUCCUCAUCUCCGGUGUUACAUAGGCAGCUGCUGGCUCCUCUUGUAUCUUUUGGGUUUUGGCAUCAUUUGGUUCCUGCCAUUUUCUAUUCUCCGGCCGUAGAAGCUGACAGCAAUCCUCCGACUCUGUUCUCAUGGUCAGAUGCUUCCUCUGUUUUCUCCUGGCAUUAAAAUCACAGCUCACCCUCAAAUCUUAUUGCCUUUGGUCAUUUUCUUGAAUGGUGCUUGGUGUUGUCUUCGAGUGUUUGCAGUGUCGUAAUUUGCUGGAGUUUUUGUAGUAUUUGAAUUGUGGUUGAUUGAGCUGCAGAAUUAGAGGGAAUUGAAUCCGUGCUAUGGGUUAUCAUGUGAUAUCAUCAUUCAUCAACAAUUAAUUGAAUGGGUUUCUACAUGAAAUAUUUUUAGUUUCUUAAUCAAUAAUUUGAAGUUUUUAAUUGGAAGUCAAAUUAUUCUUAGAGAAUAAUAUAAUUAAACUAAAUCUUGGUUAAUUGAUUGCUAGCAGAGGUGUAAAUUUACAUGGCUUCAAAAUGAAGCUUAUCUUGAAUAUCUUCCACUUAAUUUUAUCAAAUAAUAUAAUUUUGAAAUAAAUUAUUUGUAGAAUAAUUUUGAAUGAUAUAAAUCAAAUAAAUGUUAAAACAUUCAGUUUUGUUGUACCUCUCAUUUGAAACUAACGCUUUGUAUGUUUUUUAUAAAAUAAAAUAAAUCCUAAACUUCUUAUGGACUAAAAUGUUUUUAUAGAAAAUAUGAGGAUUAAAAAACAUUCAUGAACAUUUAAGAAAAGCUUUUUUUUAUCUCUGUGGGCUAGGUAUGAUGUAUGCAGGUAUGGAUAUGGGUCUUGGCUUAGAAUGAUAGAUAUGGGUCUAGUAGGAGCACAAUAUUUUUUAAUGGUAACGAAUGAGCUACGCCUACCAGGCUGGUUGCUCAGUCUUGUUUUUUUUUUUUUACUAGAAUUCAUUUCUUUAUAAAGCAUGAAUCUGUAACCAAAUUUGCUUAAUCUAUAGAAAAUAAAAGCGAUAAUCUUUUUUCAAAAAUUCCACCAUCUUCCUCGACCAAUUUUUUUGUUUUUGUUUCUAUACAUAUUAUAAUUAGUUACAAAUAUAAUACCCAAUUUAAUAAAAUCAUAAACAAAAUUCCAAGACUUUCCACACAUCAAUUUAUUUUCUCUUUAUAUUAUGAAUAAAAAAAAUCAAUAAGAGAUGAGGAAAAAAUCAAAGAGGAAAAAAAAUAAAAUUAAAAAUAUCUUAAAUGAAAAAAAAUUAAAGAAAAUGAAAUUAAUUAUCGGUAUAUUAGAGGCCUUUUGCUAUGUGCUCAUAGUGUCACUAUAAAAAAUGAUAAGUCUUAAAUAAUUAUCGUUUUUUUUUAUUCUAAUAAGUAAGAGACAAACAGAUAUGUCUUAAAUAAAAUGACUCUUCGUGAUAUACAAACUCACGGUUAGGCCUCCAAACUGAGGCUGUAACGAGCCGAGUUACAGCUUGGAUCUACAAACCCUGGAUCUACAAACACUGAAGAAAUUUCAUGGGAAAUGGGCUGAUGUCAGAUGGAGAAAUUUCUGUGCUGAUGCCAGCUAUGUUGUUGCCACUGGACAGAGAGACUUCUUCAACCACCAAUCAAAUUAUUCUUAUUGACUUUCUGUGCAGUUUGGCACGGUUUUGCUGUCAAAGUUCAGAAACCCUAGCUAUUAGAAUAGACAAGUGUUUGUCUUUGUAUUUUAAAUUAUUAUUUUUAAUUGACUCCACAAGAGAGAGAUGCCAUCCCCGCAAUACAAAACUCUCGAAAAAAUAAUGAUCGUGCCAUCACCGGUGGUUGUGCUGUUCUAUAAUAUCACAAGCCACACGAGUAGCUGAUUAGAAAGAUUUUGUAGGCAUGGCAUGAUUGACGAAUGAUGGGGGAAGGGGCAAUGGGAGCCACAUGAUCCAUUUCAUGGUUGUUCCUUGCUUGUAGAAAGAAGAUCAUGCCAUCAAGGAUCUUGCGGGAUUGCUAUCUUGCUCGGUGUUGAUUUACAAUAAUGGCUGCACAUGAACCCGUCCAGCAGAACAAAUCCCCACAAGUAAUUGUCUAUCACACUCAAAUUAAUUUGAGAUUUCUGUUUCACUGCCUCCAGAGAAGAAUAUAGUUAUUAAACCUCUCUCUUCUCCUUCAAUAUUACAGUAACGAUGUUAUUUUAAGAUUUUUUUUUUUAAAAAAUAAAACAAUUAUUAAGCUUUCCUUUGAGUUCAAACAAAUCAAGGUUGCUUAUUUGACCUGCCUGCGGGGCUUUGCUCAUAGAAUAAGACAUGUAAAUCUAGGAAAGAAAAAGUUUAAUAUAUAGUUUUAAUUUUUUAUUUGGUUUAAGACCCACCCAAAAAUUUAAUAACCACAAUGUAAUUUGAUGUUUGUGUUCCAUGGCUUCGUGUUAUGGAUGCGUGCUAUUGCAAAAAAAUAAACAAUGUAGCUUGCCAAAUAUAUAUAUAUAUAUAGCUGUGUCUUAAGUUGCUUAUAUAACUAAUUAUAACUUUUAAUCUCUAUAAGCCCAACUACAUCAUUAAAAAGAAGUUCAAUUGUCAUUUCUAAAAUUAAUUGAGUCCAAGUUAUUGAUAAAAGUAUUAGGAAAUCAAGUUUUUAUUUAUUUAUUUAUUUAUUUAUUGUGAUUUUUAAUAUAUUUAUAUAGUGAAUUUUUUAGAAUGUGCAUACAUGAAAAUGAAACAUCAAAUAUGUUAUUGAUGGUUCGGAAAUAAUCCCAAAGUAUACCAAAUAAUUCCUUCCAAUCAAUCCACCCCAUUCUUCUCUGGAUCGUGUUAAAAACCAUGCUGUAUAUGUUUGAUAAUGCAGUGAAUAUAAUUUUACAAAAAUAUUUUUCAAUUAAUAAAAUAUUUAUUAAAGAAAUUUUCAAUCAAUCCACCCCAUUCCCUCCUGCUGUGCUGAUGAUGGGGAAUGGGAGAUAGUUCAAAGGAUUUGCCUCACAUUCAAGUAUGCAACUGUUUAUGGUUAGCCUCACAUAUAAAUAAACAUACAAGGUUACAUAUAUAUACUAUGACAAGUCCUUAAAAUUCCUGUUGUGAUAACCUAAAAUUUUACUCUCUUUUUUACUAUAUAUAUUUUUUUCAAAUAAUAAUAAAAAAAUGAUGGAAAAAAAAAUAAUGAUAAAAAAAUGAAAUGAAUGAAGAAUAAAUUAAAUUUUGGUUUAAGACAACAUAAUUGACAGUUCAGGGACUUAAUUAAACUUUGGAUUAGUUUAAUUAACCAAAUAAAGGGCUUAAAUUGAAGAGUUGUUGACUUUUGAGACUUAAUUGAAAUUGAAAUUAGUUUAAUUAAUGAAAUAAAAGGGUUUAAUUGAAAAAAUAUCAAAGUUUGAGGCUGAUUUGGAUCAAAAUUGCAAGGAAUUAAAAUUCAAAGACCAAAUUGAAAAGGUGGGGGGUACCAUAGGGAGCUUAAUUGAUUUUUCUAGGGGUAAUUUUGAAAGAAUUAAAAGUUGAAGAGUCAAUGAAGGACUGAAUUGAGAAAUUUAGAAACCUAGGAUUGUUUCGUAAAAUACGCUGAGAUGCAGGGGUCUAAUUAAAGUUUAUCCAGGGUGCUUAAUUACAAAACUUCAAGGGCAAAAACGUAAAUGACCAUUGACAUCAAACAAUGCCAUUUCCAGACGUUGUUCAUCUUCUUCACUCGACCGAAAAACAACAGAUGCCCCUGCCAUCGCCAACCAUUACCAUUACUCCUGUAAUAACGGUCUUGAAUGUCUUCAUUGUCAAGGAAAACACAUGACAUUCUUUGCCUAUAAAAGCUAGAGAAGGAACCGAACACAAAAAAGAAGAGGGUGGGCUGACAAAAGAAGAACAAAAACAGAGGAGGAAAAAGGACGAAAACACGAAGAAACAGUGGAGAGAGAAGAGGGAUAGAAAAAAAAUAGAAGAACCCAAAGGAAACAACGAACAUAAAAACAAAAAGUAAGAGGGUGGGCUAACAGAAGAAGAGCAAAAACAGAGGAGGAAAAGGGGCGAAAACACGAAGAAACAAUAGAGAGAGAAGGGGGAUGGAAAAAAAGAGAAGAACCCAGAGGAAAAAUGAACAAAAAAAAAAGAAAAGAAAUGGGUGGGCUGACAGAAAAAGAACAAAAAAAAAGAGGGUGGACUGACAGAAAAAGAACAAAAACAAUGGAGGAAAAAGGGCAAAAACACGAAAAUACUUUUUUUUUUUCCUUUUAUGUUAUAUUUUUUUCACACGGUAAAGAAAAAAUAAAUUGAUAAGAGUUUUUUAUAUUAUAUAAAAGUUGAGUGAUCAUAAUUUUUUUUCAUUUGAGGUUGGGUUAAAUUUUCUUAUUAAAACAUGUUUGUUUUUGUAUUUUAAAAAUGUUUUAAGAAAAAUUGAAUGUUGUUUCUUUAAUUGAAAAUAAUAUUUUUUUAUGUGUAUAUUUUGACGCGAGAUACAAAAAUCCAUUUAAUUCUUUUCUCUAGUUUUAUCUCAUACGGUAAUAGAAAAUAAAUGAUGAGAGUUUCAAUACAUCGGCAACUAAUUUAUUUUUCUUUAUUUUUUUCUCUUUAAUUUUUUUGUUCUCUUAUUGAUUUUGUUUUCAUAUUGUAAAGAGAAAAUAAAUUAAUAAAAGCCAGACUCAAGAAGAUCUCCAUAGCCCUUUUCUUUUAAAGAUAUUUUUAAUUUUAUGUUCUUUUCCUCUUAUAUUUUCUUUUCUUUUCUCUUAUUGAAUUUUUUUCCAAACUGUAAAGAUGAUAUAAAUUGAUAUGACUUUUUUUAUAUUGUACAAAAGUUGAGUAAUGAUAUUUUUUUUUCAUUUCAGAUUGUGUUGAAUUUCCUGAUUAAACCACGUUUGUUUUUGCGUCUUAAAAAUUCUUUGAUUUAUUUUUGCUAAUUGUUAAUUUUUUUCUUUACUUCAAAUUCAUAUUUUUUUAUGUUUUUGUAUUAUUCUUUUAAAUAGUUUAUUAAAAAAUAUAUUGAGAUUGAGUCUGGUUGUAAAGCCAAACCCAAGAAAUUAGAAAAUUCUUAAUUUUUUUCUUUACUACAAAUUAAUAUAUAUUGAUGUGUUUGUAUUAUUUUUUUAAUAUAUUGAGAUUGGGUCUGGCUGCGUAGCUAGACACAAAGUUUUUGGGAUUGGCUCUGGCUAGGCAGCAGGACGCAGCGAGACCUAAUCUCAAUAUAUAUAUUUUUAAAAAAAAUAUAAAAAAAUAUUAAUUUGAAGUAAAUAAAUAAAAAAAAUCAAAUUUUUUCAAAGAAUUUUUGAAACACAUAAAUAAAUAUGUUUUUAAUAAAGAAAUUAAAUCCUACCUGAAAGGAAAAAAAAAGUAUUUUCACCUAAUUUUUAUACAAUAUAAAAAAAUUACAUUAAUUUAAUUUCCUUUUAUAUUAUGAAUAAAAAAUUUAAUAAGAGACAAGAAAAAAAUUCACAUAGAAAUUUCUAUGCUGAUGCCAGCGCUAGCUAUGUGUUGACACUGGACAGAGAGACUUCAACCACCAAUCAAAAUUUUCUUAUUGACUUUUUGUGCAGUUUGGCACGGUUUGCUGUCAAAGUUCAGAAACCUUAGCUAUUAGAAUAGUCUAAAGUGUUUAUUUCUGUAUUAAAUGUUUUUUUUUAAUUGACUCUACAAGAGAGAGAUGCCAUCCCCGCAAUACAAAACUCUCAAAAAAUAUAAUGAUCGUGCCGCCACCACCGCUGGUUGGGCUGUUACGUAAUUGUUUUUUUUUGUUUUUUUUUUUUUAUAGUUGUUAUUUUUGAAAAUAUUUUUUAUUUUUUAAAAUUAAUUCUUAAUUUUUAAUAUUAACAUAUUAAAAUGUUUUUAAAAUAUAAAAAAAUAUUAAUUUAAAAAAAUAAAAAAACAUUUAAUUUUUUUUAAAAUAUUUUUAAAAUACAAAAGAAUUCUAUAACCAAGCCACCACCAAUGAUUGUGCUGUUUUUUAAUAUCAUAUUUAGGACGUGAACGAAGUCUGUUAAUAUAACUCAUAUUCUUGCUCCCUCAGGUACGAAGAGCCCUAGAAUUUUCAUGGGAAAUGGGUUGAUGUCAGAGGAGACAGAGAAGCGUACUUUCAGAAGAUCAUGACCCAAAUCAACGGCUGAAAUCCAAUCCCUCGGUGACACAUUGCAUGAUUGGAGACUGCUGGUCUCUAGUACGAAGAGAAACAACAGCUGUGAUGAAGGAAUCUUAUUUUAUUAUUUUUUUAAAAUAUUUUUUAUAUUUUAAAAUUAAAAAUAAAUUUUUGAAAAUAAAAAAUUAUUUUUAUAUAUUUUUAAAUAAAAAAUAUUUAAAAAAAAAGCUAUGCCAGCACCAGACUCCUUAUAAGAAAGAGGGAAGGUGAUAUUCAUUAUAACUUUACUGCCCCGCCUCUCUCUCCUACCUGCAGCAGCCACUAGAUGUUCAUGGCGUCUUCUUCUUCUUUGCCUAGACCUGGUUGGGUUUACGAUGUAUUUGUAAGUUUUAGAGGUCAAGAUACUCGCAAAAAUUUGACGGACCAUCUUUACACUGCUUUACACCAUGCAAGAAUCCAUGCAUUUCGAGAUGACGAAAAACUUCGUAGAGGUGAAGAAAUCUCCUUACAACUCUCCAAAGCAAUACAAGAAUCCAAGAUUUCUAUAGUGGUUUUCUCCAAGGGCUAUGCUUCCUCCACUUGGUGUCUUGGUGAACUUCAAAAGAUUCUUGAAUGCAGACGACAACCAACCGGGCAGAUUGUUCUACCUGUUUUCUAUGAUAUCGAUCCUUCUGAUAUUAGAAAACAGACGGGGAGUUUUGCUGAAGCCUUUGAUAGACAUGAAGCACGUUUUAAGGAAGAAAUGGAGAAGGUCCAAAAGUGGAGAAAAGCUCUUGUGGAGGCUGCAAAUUUAUCUGGGUUGGAUCGUCGCAGUAUCGCAAAUGCGUACUUCUUUACUUUCCCUAUGUCGAUAGCAAACGCUUCUAACUUUUAACCUUAUUACAUUUUGUAUUUUAAAUUUGCAUUAAAUUCAAAAGAUUAUCUUCCAUCGAUGAGUGAUGAAUUUCUUUUUCUAUGCACAGGCAUGAAUCAAAAUUAAUUCAAAAGAUUGUCGAAGAAGUUUCAAGUAUAUUGAAUCGCAGAAACAUAAACGAAAGGCCGCUGAAGAUGUUGAAGACAACAAUGAUAUCUGGCGGUGGGCUGCAUGACGAUGCUGAGGAGAAGCAGAUAACAAAUACAGCUGUGCGGGAUUGGCUGGACGAGUAUAAAGACGCUGUCUAUGAAGCCGAGGACUUCUUGGAUGAGAUUGCUUAUGAAACUCUACGGCAGGAGUUGGAAGCUGAAACUCAAACCUUCAUUAACCCACUUGAAUUAAAGAGGUUGAGAGAGAUAGAAGAAAAAUCAAGAGGCCUCCAGGAGAGACUAGAUGACUUAGUAAAACAAAAGGAUGUCCUUGGUUUGAUCAACCGCACCGGAAAAGAACCAUCAUCGCCUAAAAGUCGAACAACUUCUCUGGUGGAUGAACGUGGUGUUUAUGGUAGAGAUGAUGACAGGGAAGCAGUACUGAUGUUGCUUGUAUCAGAGGAUGCAAAUGGAGAAAACCCAGAUGUCGUUCCCGUAGUUGGAAUGGGCGGGGUUGGUAAAACCACACUUGCUCAGCUUGUAUACAAUCACAGAAGAGUACAGAAGCGGUUCGAUCUCAAAGCUUGGGUUUGUGUUUCAGAAGAUUUCAGUGUUUUGAAGUUAACCAAGGUUAUCCUUGAGGGAUUCGGUUCAAAGCCUGCUUCUGAUAAUCUGUUGAAGGAGAGAUUGCACGGAAAGAAAUUCUUGCUUGUUUUAGAUGACGUUUGGAAUGAGGAUUAUGCUGAGUGGGAAAAGUUGCUUACCCCCCUGAAGUGUGGAGCACAAGGGAGUAAGAUUCUUGUUACAACUCGCAAUGAAAGUGUAGCAUCAGUCAUGAGAACUGUUCCAACUCAUCAUCUAAAAGAAUUGACGGAAGACAGCUGCUGGUCCUUGUUUGCCAAACAUGCAUUUCGUGGUGAAAAUCCCACUGCUCAUGAAGAGUUACUAGAAAUUGGUAGAGCAAUAGCGAGAAAGUGUAAAGGCCUUCCUCUAGCAGCAGUAACACUCGGAGGUCUGCUACGCACCAAAAGAGAUGUCGAGGAGUGGGAGAAGAUAUUGGAAAGCAAUCUAUGGGAUUUACCCAAAGACAAUAUCCUCCCAGCUUUGAGAUUAAGUUAUCUUUAUCUCCUGCCACAACUGAAGCAAUGUUUUGCUUAUUGUGCCAUAUUUCCAAAAGACUAUUUAUUUGGAAAGGAUGAAUUAGUGCUCCUGUGGAUUGCAGAGGGCUUCUUAGUCCGGCCCUUAGAUGGUGAGAUGGAAAGAGUAGGUGGUGAGUGCUUUGAUGAUCUCUUGGCAAGGUCUUUUUUCCAGCUAUCAAGUGCCUCUCCCUCAUCAUUUGUGAUGCACGAUCUCAUACAUGACUUGGUGUGUCCGGUCAAUUCAGCUUCAGGUUGGGGGAAAAUAAUUCUUCCAUGGCCUCUAGAAGGACUCGACAUCUAUCGCUCGCAGUAAAGACGCGCGCAAGUUACGGACGGUGGUUUUUUCAGCCCAGAAUUAGAAAACAUCCGUGAAGCCCAACUUCUACGCACAUUCCAAACUUUUCCACGCUAUUUGAAGUCUCUUCCCGAAGUUUAUACUGAGAUCUUUCAUAUAUAUGUUGUCAACACUUGGGCGCCUACGAGUGCUAUCCUUGUCUCGCUGUGCCAGUGCAGCUAAGAUGCUUUGUUCAACUAGCAAGUUGAAGCAUUUGCGGUAUUUGGAUCUCUCUCGGUCAGAUUUAGUAACGUUGCCUGAAGAAGUGAGUUCUCUUCUCAAUUUGCAAACGCUGAUCUUGGUAAAUUGCCACGAACUUUUUAGUCUCCCUGAUCUUGGAAAUUUGAAGCACUUACGACAUCUGAAUCUUGAAGGAACAAGAAUCAAAAGGUUGCCUGAAUCUCUGGAUAGGUUAAUCAACUUGCGGUAUCUUAACAUCAAGUACACGCCUUUGAAAGAGAUGCCACCACAUAUAGGUCAACUGGCAAAGCUCCAAACGUUGACUGCCUUUCUCGUGGGAAGACAGGAGCCUACCAUUAAAGAAUUGGGAAAGCUACGACAUCUACGGGGAGAACUUCAUAUUGGGAACCUUCAAAAUGUGGUGGAUGCUUGGGAUGCUGUCAAAGCAAAUUUAAAAGGUAAAAGGCACCUUGAUGAGCUGAGGUUUACAUGGGGUGGUGACACUCAUGACCCGCAACACGUAACAAGCACACUUGAGAAAUUAGAGCCAAAUAGAAAUGUGAAGGAUCUUCAGAUUGAUGGUUAUGGAGGUGUAAGGUUUCCGGAGUGGGUAGGAAAGUCCUCUUUCUCAAACAUAGUGUCCUUGAAGCUCAGUAGAUGUACAAACUGCACCUCCUUACCACCGCUCGGGCAAUUAGCUUCUUUGAAGCGUCUCUCAAUUGAAGCAUUCGAUAGAGUUGAGACUGUGAGCUCUGAGUUCUAUGGGAAUUGUACAGCUAUGAAGAAGCCAUUUGAAUCCCUCCAAACAUUAUCUUUUAGAAGGAUGCCAGAGUGGCGUGAGUGGAUUUCAGACGAAGGCAGCCGGGAAGCCUUCCCUCUUCUAGAGGUGCUUUUAAUCAAAGAAUGCCCCAAGCUUGCAAUGGCCCUACCUAGUCACCACCUUCCACGUGUAACAAGACUUACAAUUAGUGGAUGUGAGCAGCUCGCGACUCCACUUCCUAGGUUUCCUAGGUUGCACUCUCUCUCUGUUUCUGGAUUCCACUCCCUAGAGUCCCUACCCGAGGAAAUUGAGCAAAUGGGUUGGUCACUCUCUGAUUUAGGGGAAAUUACAAUCAAGGGCUGGGCUGCUCUCAAAUGCAUCCCACUGGACUUGUUCCCCAACUUAAAUACUCUUUCUGUCUCUAACUGUCCAGAUCUCUAAUCACUAUGUGCACAUGAAAGACCUCUCAUUGAUCUCAACUCUCUCCAUUCUUUGAUAAUCUGGGGGUGCCCUAAAUUAGUUUCAUUUCCCAAAGGAGGGUUACCUGCUCCAGUCUUGACACGAUUUGACUUAGCAGAUUGCAGAAAUUUGAAGCAGUUGCCUGAGAGUAUGCAUUCCCUCCUCCCAUCCCUUAACCAUUUGGAAAUAAGAGGUUGUUUAGAAGUUGAGUUGUGUCCAGAAGGGGGUUUUCCCUCCACAUUACAUUCACUUGAGAUUUGUAGAUGCAACAAACUCAUUGCAGGCCGCAUGCAAUGGGGCUUGCAAACGCUCCCUUCUCUUUCACGCUUUGCAAUUGGUUUCGACGAAAAUGUUGAAUCCUUCCCUGAAGAGAUGCUGCUGCCCUCAAGUCUUACAUCUCUAAAAAUCUAUUCCCUAGAACACCUGAAAUCUCUUGACUACAAGGGGCUUCAACACCUCACCUCUCUUAGAGAAUUGACUAUAAGUAACUGCCCUCUGAUUGAGUCAAUGCCAGAAGAAGGGUUGCCCUCCUCCCUUUCUUCUCUUGAAAUUUUCUUUUGUCCUAUGCUGGGUGAAAGUUGUGAAAGGGAGAAAGGUAAAGAUUGGCCCAAGAUUUCUCACAUUCCUCACAUAAGUAUUAGGGGAGCAAAAAAGUAGUAGCUAAAAGGAGCUUUUCUUUCAAUCGUUCAACAUAUUGAGGUAUUGCUACUAAAUAGUUUAUUUUCUUUUCAGCAAUCAAAGUCAGUUUCAGUUAAAAUUUGGAUGAAUGAAAUACAGAUAUUGUCUCUGUUGUAUGUUUUUAUUUGUUGUAUGUUGAAAUACAAAUCUCUCAUUCAUCUUCACAAAUAAUCAUCAUUCUAUUUCAAUAUAUUUUUUUUCUAUAAUUAAUUUUUUAAGUUGAAUUGAUUAGUAUUUUACUUUUCUUAUUCUAACAUUUGUGGUUAGAACAAAGUAACUUUCACUGGGAUGAGAUGAUUUUGGUUCAAUGGGAGCGGUGAAACCUUUGGCUUCUUUCCUUUGAAUCCAAAUUCAAAUCCUACUAUUGUUCCUCUAUCCUGUUCUGCUGCAAAUAAACAUCACAACAUCCUUGUUUUCGAUCUUGGAAUUGCUGGUUCUACUAUCUUGUUCUGCUGCUGGAGGAUCAUCACAUACUUCAGAUUUGAAUUUAGUAAUAGAAAAUCCAUUGCUAAAAAGGAUUAAAAAAAUAUUGAAUUAUUUAAGUAAUCUGCAACGGAUUUUUCAUUGUUGACGCGGCAAAAUCAAAUCUGCUACUGAUUCAAAAAAUAAAUUAAACCCUUAAUUAUAUAAAAUCUCCCUUAGUUCUCUCCUUUUCUCCUUUUCUGCAUCUUCAAAAAUUCAAUUUUUUUUCUCCAUCUCUUUCUCUAGUCUAUUCCCCUUCUCCAAAUCCAAAAACUUUUGAUUUAUCCUUCUCUUUUAUUAUUUAAUUUUGAAUAAAUUUUUUUUAUUCCUUAUAAAGCUGAAGUUAAAAAACAAUUUUGGAGUGCAGGUAAUGCCCUUCCCAGCAAAAUUUAUGGUGUUUGGGAACUAACAAGUAACAUCUUAUUAGUUGUUCUUCAAACAUACUUUGAUAAAAAAAAAUUGAUACUAAAAGAAGAGAUAAUAGAUAAUUCAGGAUCUAUAAAAAAAUAUAAGAAUAUCUUUAUUUAUAAUUUUUUUUCUAGUUAUUAUAUCUUUUUAUUUUUUAAAUAAAAUUUAUAUAAAUAACUAAUAAGAUUAAACUAAUUAUCCAUGAACACCAUAAUUAUAUCUUCCCAAAGAUGUAAGCCUUAUAUCACGGAGGAAUGUACGAGGGAUUAAAAAAACUCUUUCCUUUGUCUUUUUAAUUCUUUUUUUUUUCAUUAGUUUAUUUAUUAAGGCGCUUAUUAGCUUGAAAGUUUUCCUCGCCUUGUCCAAUCUUCGCUAGAAGGGCUUGUUCUCAGAACGAGGAAUUUAAAAGAAGAAGUGGAUGACCGAAGAGGGGAAUUUAAAUAAGAGCUUUGGCUUUCCAUAUCUUAUACUAUUUCGUUUGAUUCCAGUUUUGCUUCAACUCUCAACAACACUCCCUUCUUUCGUUGCUCGACAUCAUUUAAAUGAACAUGGCUUAAUUACCUUUUUCAAGCAAUGAUGGAGUAGUAGUGCAGUUAAAGAACACACCCUAGCUGUUUGACAAAAUGCCGUUGAAGAUGAUAGUCAUUUUAGUGCUGCUGCUAGUAACAACCCCGGUAAGAAAACUAACGACCUCUUGAUGUGUUUUUUUAGGAAAUACAUUAAAUGUUUUUAUUUGUUCAUGUGUUUUCUUCAGGAGGUGGUGCUAACCAGAGAAAGCUAAAGCAGAGGAGGAUGGCCAAGAGGUUGCAAAGGGAAAGGAUGAAGCCUUUUGUUAGAGGUCUAGGUGCUGGUGCACUAACAAAAGCACAUUGCCUUGACGAAGCCGAAAAUAUUGGCUGCUCAAUACAAACAAGGGCCGAAAUCGGUAGGCAACGUGCGAGGACUUUCCCUGGCAUUGGGUGUAUCCUGGCAUGAAUGGUGGAUGGAUGAUGAAAUGCCCAGGACAUUGGGCUGUCCAAGCCGAGGCAGAAACACAGCAACAUUGGAUGCAUAGGUGCUUGUAGCUGGCCAGUUGGUUUGUGGGGGCUGACCCAAGUACAAGCAAAUCUUAGGGUGGACUGCCCAACGAGUGCGGGUUGCUUAAGAAAAGCAUGAGGGAUGAACUGCCUAAGAGAUGCAUGGGGUAGAGUGCCAAUGUGCUGCUGGAAUAUGUAACCUUGUAUAAAUAGGCUUGCUAAAGUCAGCUGUGUAGUAUGCAAGACAUAUUUUGCAUAACACACACAGAGAUGGUGUAUUCCUUUCUUAUAGAAUUAAUAAAAGGUCGGGAUACAUACAGAGAGAUCAUUUUGGUAAAAUUAUUAAGCAAAGCAAAUUCUCUCAUCAGAUAUGGGAUUUCGAAGGAAAAAUAGGGAUUCAAAUCUUUACGGACCAUUCGUAAACCAUUGAUCUGAGAGAGGGAUAUUUGGAUUUCGUGCUUGUUUCAUAAAUAAAUAAAUUAAAUUUUUUCUUGAGGAUAUGUAAUAAAUUAUGUUCGUUUGGAUCUACGAAGGAAAGAGGAAGAAGAAGUGGAAUGGCUAAUGGCUAAGUUCUUAAAUUGGAUGACCGGCUUAACAAUUAAAGGGUUACUGGCUACUAAAAAAAAUGAUAUGAAUUAUUAACAACAAAAAAUUAAAUAAAAAAGAAGCUGAUAACUGAAAAAUCAGCAACGAAAAUCCAAUGUUCUUUGGAUUUACUUGGAAUUGCUUCAACUGACGUGAGAAACCUACAACCCAAGCCUUCAGAAGCAAGUGAACAAAACCAUAGUUCAUAACAAGGAAGCAUCCGCGUUUUGGAAUCAAAAUUCAGAAGCAAGUGAAAGUGGCCGAUGUCACUCAAGAGAGCAGGCACUUAAUGAUUUUGCCCUGUUUAUCUAAAGUUGUGCAAGUUCUCUGCAUUGAUGAUUCCUGUGAAUUUGUACAGAUCUUGUUUUCUUUCUAUUUGUCCUUGAAUAAACUUAUUGCACUUGUUGAACAAUCUUUGUCUCUCUCUCUUAGUUAAAUCUAGCAAAAAUUUUCAGGUAUGUUGUGACACUCAUUUAUUCUUGGAUGUGUGUAUUUAGCUCUCCUUUUCGGAUUUUACCUUUUCAAUUUCUUUUGUGCUUUUGUAUUCAAGAGUCGAAGUUCAAGCAGGCAAUUUACAUAAAUCAAUGUAAAGUUGAUCAGGAAAUAGUUUACGGCAAAUUUCAGAAAGAUGGAAAGCUAUGUAAGGUUGCGGCGGCCUUCAUAUCCCUGGGUGAGAGUAUAGGAAACAGUACAGGUGUGAUGCCAGUAUUACUGGGUUUCUUUUUUUUGUUUUGCUGAGAAAACUACAAAUCCUAAAUGCAAAGAGGAAUAAUACAUAAACUUGCAAUGUAGUUAAGUUUAACAAGGAGGUAGCAUAAAUAAGCAGCGCAACAUACGAAAUUUUGCUAGAUUUAGCCACUAGAAAGAGAGAUGUCUCAACAAGUGUGGAAGACAAAUGUAAAGGAAAACAAGAUUUGCACCCAAAGAAGGUGAUUAUGCACAAAUUCACUGGAGUCAACAAUGAAGAAAACUUGCAUGGCCAGGGUAAAGCUACAAAUGCCAACGCUGAUGAAGAGUUACAAGAAAUUGGUAGAGCAAUAGUGAGGAUUGUCUGAUGUUCAUCUAUAAUAGCAGAGCAGAUAAAUAAUUGUAGCUGAAGAAAAGAAUGGUGUGCGAGAGCAAUUUCAUAGAAAUGAAACUGCUUGCCUACAAUAUUUGUGUUUUGAUCUUCUAGCCUUUUGGUGUUCUAUGGCUUUGUUGCUGCCUUUUAGUCUUUUGGUGUUCCACGGUGCUGCUGCUUUUUGGCUCUUGAUUUAAUAGAAAUGCUGUCCCCCCAUCCCUUGUAUCUUUUGGGUUUUGGCAUCGUUGGUUCCUGCCGUUGUCCGUUCUCCGGUAGUCGAAGCUGACAGCAAUCCUCCGACUCUGUUCUCAUAGUCAGAUGCUUCCUCUGUUUUAUCCUUUGGUCAUUAAAAUUACAGCCUACCCUCAAAUAUACUAAGUUGAUUUUGCAAAUUUUGUUCCAAGAGAGUAGAAAUUUAAAGAAAAAUGUACAUUCUCAUUCGUCACCUCCCUUGCAAAUUCAAUAAGUACCUCAUAAUUGGUUUAUAUAUGGAAUAUUUUUAGUUAUUCAAUAAGUGAAUCUUCGAUCAGAAGAGAAAUUAUUUUUAGUGAAUAAUGUAAAGAAGAAACUAAAUUUUGGUUAAUUUACAAUAAGUUUAUAUAGCUUGAAAGUGAAGCUCAUCUUCUAUUUAGUUUUCUUAAAUAUAUAAUUUUAAAUUAAAUUACUUUUAAAAUAAUUUUGAGUAUAUCUUACAUGUUUAAACAUUAACUUUGUUGGAUGAAUUCCAAACCACAUAAUUUGAAACUCAUAUAGGUAUCUUAAAUAGUGCAGCCUGAGCUUUACGGUUACGUUUUCUUUGACGAUGAUUAUUGUUAAAUUAUUUUUUAUUUUAAAAUAUAUUAAAAUAAUUUUAUAUUUUUAAUAAUUUUUAACAUUAACACAUUAAAAUUAUUAAAAUAUUAAAAAAAAAAAUUUAAUAUAUUUUUAAAUAAAAUAUAUUAAAAAAAAGCAUACAUUACUACUAUUCUCUCAAACAUACAAUCCUAUUCAUCUUAAGACCUGAGCUAUUAUUAAAAUGGUUAACUCAUUAAAUUUACACUUGGUUAUGGAGUUGGAUAACUCAUUAAAAACAUAAAUCUUAUAUUAAAAUAAACAAAUUUUAAAAAUAUUGAUUAGAAGAACAACAAAACACUUAUUCAAGUAGUUGUAUAAAAUAUAAUAAUAUAAUGUAUAAUUUAUAAUUCAUAAUUUAUUUAUUUACUUUAUCAAUCUUCUGCUGCGUGAUCACAUCACGUGAAAAGCUUGGCAUUUAGUGAUGUUUUUCCAAUCAAGCCCCCUUUUUUCAAAGAUGGAAUCUCGAGGUAAAUAAAUCAAAGACAAAACCGAGUAAAAUGGAGUCCACUCAGUCCAGAGCAUAACAAGGACCGAGAGAGAGAAGGCUUUAGCGAGUUGUGUGUUCUCUUGGCAAAUAAAGCGAGGACAAACCGAGUAAAAUGUGGGACCCAACUCAAUUUUUCCUGGCACACGCAACUCACGCAUACACUAACACUAAUUUGAGAUAUUUUUUUUACUUGGGAGUUUACAGGCAAAUAAAGUGAUGGAAGAAGGUCUUCUUCUGCAUCAUCACAUCACGUGAAAAGCUUGGCAUUUAAUGAAGUUUUUCCAAUUAAAACUUAUGGUAUAAUUUCUUGACAGCGAAAUAAAGAAAAGUAGGAACCCUGUUAUAUCUAGGAAAUUUCUCUGCUCUUUAAAUUAGGUGUACAAACUGAGGCUGUAACGAGCCCUGAAUCUACACAGAAGAAAUUUUGUUGGAAAUGGGUUGAUGUUAGAGGCAGACAGGGAAACGUAAUCUCAGAAGGCCAGGACUCAAAUUAGCGGCUGAAAUCCAAUCACUCAAGGGAUGGUGACACGUUGCCAUGGGUGGGAGACAGCUGGUCUCCAGUUCGAAGAGAAACAACAGCGUUUUUUUUUUUAUUAAAAGUGAGUGUACGAGCUACAUCCAUAUAUUUUAAUUAAUUUUAUUAAUUUAAAAAUUAAAAAUUAUAUAAAUUUUUAAUGAUUCUAAAAAGAUUUAAAUUCAUAAAAAAAUUUGAAUUCAUAAAUAUUAAAAUACAAAUAUAAAAUUAGAUGACCCACAACAGUGUUUUCAUUGUUUAAAAUGGAGUGUUUGUUUUCCUGAGUUUCUUUGUUCUCGUGACAGCUCAUGAUGGUGGGGGCUUUAAAAAAAAUAAAAAAAUUAUUUUUACUUGUGAUUUAUUUGAUUUAAAUAAGUAUUUAAUUAAAAAUAUUGUUUAAUAAAAAAAUAUUUAAUUAAAAUUAUAAUUAAAGAUAUAUUGUAACUAAAAUUAUUAUAAAAAAAAGAUCCGGUGGAGAGGAUGAAAAUAAUGAUUGGAUAUCUUAAUAAUUGUAAAAAAGAAAGUAUCUUUUUAUGGUGAAGUUAUCGGUAGAUGAGAAAAUACUGAGUUUUGUAGCUCAGAAAAAAAACGCCAUUCAACUAAUAAAAUGAUCCAUCUACAUUAAAAAAAAAAAAAACGUCAUGCCCACGUGUGGAAGAUAAAAUUAAUCAACCUAAUCUUUCUGGAUUGCAUUUUAUUAUUCAUGUCAAACAAUCAGUAUCCUUAAUACUGAUUAAGGAUAUUUUUGUUUUUGUAAUUCAACUAUACUUUUUAAUAUAAUAAUUUUUUAAUUUAAUUUUUUAAUUAUUUUAAUAUCAUUUUGUUAUUUCUAAUUGUUUGUGUUUACGAGGUUAGUCAUAAAUUCAUGAUUAGAAUCAUCGAUUCUAAAAAUUAAUGUAAAUUAAUUUUUAUUUUUUAAAAUUAAUUUAUUUAAAUUUUAUCAUUUAAUUUUUUUUUCAUGAUUUCUUUUUAAGAGACUAACCCUUCAUCGACAAACACUAAUGUACUCUGAAAAACAUAAUCCUACUGCAUUUGAUGCUUUAAAUUUCAACAAGGAGUACCUACACAGUGAAAUAAAGAAAAGUAUGAACCUUGCAUCUGGGAAAUUUUUAUUAGGCCUCCAAUCCGAGGCUGUAACGAGCCCUGGAUCUACACACAAGAAAUUUCGUGGGAAAUAGGUUGAUGUCAGAGGGAGACAAGGAAGCGUACUUUCAGAAGACCAUGACACAAAUCAACGGCUGAAAUCCGAUCACUCAAGGGAUGGUGACAUGUUGCCAUGAGUGAGAGACAGCUGGUCUCCAUCUAAAUGUUUAAAGAUGAUUGGGUAUCUUAGUAAUUGUAUAACAAUUGAUUUUUUUUUUUUGAUGAAGGUGUCGGUGUGGAUGAGAAAAUACUGAGUUUGUAGCUCAGUAAAAACAUGUUGAUGUUACUUUUUAUUAGCUCAUGGUUGGCUCGUAAAUUGUAAUGGGUCCCACAGUCACAAAACUAUGAUUCUUCACAUGUAAUUUAUGUUUUAUAACUUUUUUAUUUUUAAUUAUUAUUUUUUUAUUUUUAUGUUAAAAAUUUAAAAAUAUUAUUUUAAUAUAUUUUUAAAUAAAAAAUAAUAAUAUCAAACAGCGUGAAUGUUUUAUAAAUUCUUUACAAUCGCUUUUACAUUUCUUUAGAUCACAUUUAAGAAUACGGUACACCACAAUAAAGUCUGUUGUUGCUACAUGAUUAAAGGUAAUUGUCUUGCAUUUACCUUUAAAACUGCUAUCAAGAAUUAAUUAAUUGCGUCAAUUCAAUUCUUUCUAUUGACAUUGAUACCAAACAUGUUAAUUCAUGAUAUAAUUAAGCAAUUCAAUACAAAUUUACUAAUAUAAUUUAUUUCGGCUUAAACCUUUGAAUAUAGCCAAAUGCAGAGGCUAUGCAAGUGAAAUACCUUAAUAAUUUUUAGGCUUUACAACCCUAGGAGCCACUCAAAAUAUAAUGUGUUUAUACCUAUUUAUUUGUUAGAAAAUAAUUUUUUUAUUAAAAAAUGGUUUUUUUAAAAAUAAAUUGGUAAAUAUUUUUUAAUAUUUAAUUAUAUUACAGAAAACAAGUAGAAAAAUAACUUUUUACUUUUUUAAUUUUUUUCUCAGGUUUAUUAAAAGACAUAUAACAAUAUUGAAGGAGGAUAAAAUUAAAAAAAAUUAUAAAUUAUUUCAAAAUGAAAUAAAUAAUAAUUAAAAGAAUCAAGAUCAAAUGUAACAGAUAAAAAUAUUAAUAAAAAAAUAAAACAAAAAUAAAUAAUAAUAAUAAAAAAAUUAAUAUUAAAAUAAUAUUAAACCAAGAAUUAAAUUAAAAAAAAGAAAGCAAAACAAAAUGUAUAAAAUAUAAUAAUAUAAUUUAUGAUUUAUUUAUUUAAUUUAUCAAUGAAAAGUGAUAGAAUAAAGAAGAGAAAAGAAAUAAAGUGAAGUAUGCUGCUGCAUUAUCAUAUCACGUGAAAAGCUUCGCAUUUUGUGAAGUUUUUCCAAUCAAACCCUGUUUUUUAAAAGAUGUAAUUUCUAGGAAAAUAAAUCAAAGACAAACCGAGUAAAAUUCCAAAAGAAGAGAAAGAUGGAGUAGCGUUUCAGUUCCGGCUUGUAUCCGUGUUUUAAAAAUAUAUAUAUAUUUUUAAUUUUAAAUUAAUAUAUUUUUAAUGUUUUUAAAUAUUUUAAUUUAUUAAUAUUAAAAAUAAUUUAUAAAAAAUAAAAUAAUUUAUUUUAAUAUAUUUUUAAAUAAAAAACAAUAGACACCCGUGACCACUUAAAUGGACUCCUAAGCAUAACAAGUUAAGAGUUAAAGAGCCGAGAGAGAAAAAGCUUUUGCCAGUUCUUUACACAAAUUCUUUCCCCUUCUGUCACCUGAACAAAAUCCCCACUUCUUCUUCUUGCUUGUUUACUCUUCCUUCGUUACUUUGCGAAGAGGAGAAACCAUGGCCGGGGCUUUAGUAGGAGGAGCUUUUCUUUCUUCUUUCCUUAAUGUUUUGUUCGACAGGAUGGCCUCUCCCCAGGUGGUUGCCUUCUUGAGAGGCCAAAAAGUCAAUGAUAGGCUGCUAACGAGGUUGGAGACAGCAAUGACAUCUCUCAGGGUGGUGCUUGACGAUGCCGAGGAGAAGCAGAUAACAAACCGAGCUGUGCGGGAUUGGCUGGACCUGCUUAAAGACGCUGUCUAUAAAGCCGACGACUUCUUGGAUGAGAUUGCUUAUGAAGCUCUACGGCAGGAGUUGGAAGCUGAAGAUCAAACCUUCACAGGUCAGACGCAGAGGCUUCUUUCUUUCAUUAACCCACUUGAAAUAUUGGGCUCGAGAGAGAUCGAAGAAAAAUUAGACUUCCUCUUGCAGGAUCUAGAUCCCUUAGUUGAACGAAUGGAUGCCCUUGGUUUGAUCAACCGCAAUGUAGAAAGACCAUCAUCGCCUAAAAGACCAACAACUUCUCUGGUGGAUGAAUCUAGUAUUUAUGGUAGAGAUGAUGACAGGGAAGCAAUACUGAAGUUGCUUCAACCAGACGAUGCCAGUGGAGAAAACCCAGGUGUGGUUCCCAUAUGGGGAAUGGGCGGGGUUGGUAAAACCACGCUUGCUCAGCUUGUAUACAAUAGCAGCGAAGUACAAGAGUGGUUCGGUCUCAAAGCCUGGGUUUGUGUUUCAGAAGAUUUCAGUGUUUUGAGGUUAACCAAGGUGAUCCUUGAGGAGGUCGGUUCAAAGUCUGAUUCUGAUAGUCUGAAUAAUCUCCAGCUUCAGUUGAAGAAGAGAUUGCAGGGAAAGAGAUUUUUGGUUGUUUUAGAUGACGUUUGGAAUGAAGAUUAUGAUGAAUGGGAUAGGUUUCUUACCCCCCUGAAGGACGGAUCACAAGGGAGUAAGAUUCUUGUCACAACACGCAAUGAAAGUGUAGCAUCAGUCAUGAGAACUGUUCGAACUCAUCAUCUAGAAGAAUUGACGGAAGAAAGCUGCUGGUCCGUGUUUGCCAAACAUGCAUUUCGUGGUAAAAAUCCCAAUGCUUAUGAAGAGUUGCAAGAAAUUGGAAGAGAAAUAGUGAGAAAAUGUAAAGGCCUUCCUCUAGCUGCAAAAACACUCGGAGGUCUGCUGCGCACCAAAAGAGAUGUCGAGGAGUGGGAGAAGAUAUUGGAAAGCAAUCUAUGGGAUUUACCCAAAGGCAAUAUCCUCCCAGCCUUGAGAUUAAGUUAUCAUUAUCUCCUGCCACAUCUGAAGCAGUGUUUUGCUUAUUGUGCUAUAUUUCCAAAAGACUAUUCAUUUCGAAAGGAUGAAUUAGUGCUCCUGUGGAUGGCAGAGGGCUUCUUAGUCGGCUCCGUAGAUGAUGAGAUGGAAAAAGCAGGUGCUGAGUGCUUUGAUGAUCUCUUGUCAAGGUCGUUUUUCCAGCAAUCAAGCUCAUCAUUUGUGAUGCACGAUCUCAUGCAUGACCUGGCUACCCAUGUGUCCGGUCAAUUUUGCUUCAGCUCCAGGUUGGGGGAAAAUAAUUCUUCCACGGCCACCAGAAGGACUCGACAUUUAUCACUCGUAGUAGAUACGGGAGGCGGUUUUUCAAGCAUAAAAUUAGAAAACAUCCGUGAAGCCCAACAUCUACGCACAUUCAGAACUUCUCCGCACAAUUGGAUGUGUCCUCCCGAAUUUUAUAAGGAGAUCUUUCAGUCAACUCAUUGUCGCCUACGAGUGCUAUUCAUGACUAAUUGUAGAGAUGCAUCUGUGUUGUCAUGUUCAACUAGCAAGUUGAAGCAUUUGCGGUAUUUGCAUCUUUCCUGGUCAGAUUUAGUAACGUUGCCUGAAGAAGCGAGUACUCUUCUCAAUUUGCAAACUUUGAUCUUGAGAAAGUGCCGACAACUUGCUAGUCUACCUGAUCUUGGAAAUUUGAAGCAUUUACGACAUCUGAAUCUUGAAGGAACAGGAAUCGAAAGAUUGCCUGCAUCUCUGGAAAGGUUAAUCAACUUGCGGUAUCUUAACAUCAAAUACACGCCUUUGAAAGAGAUGCCACCACAUAUAGGUCAACUAACAAAGCUCCAAACGUUGACUGCCUUUCUCGUCGGAAGACAGAGUGAGACUAGCAUUAAAGAAUUGGGAAAACUACGACAUCUACGGGGAGAACUUCAUAUUAGGAACCUUCAAAAUGUGGUGGAUGCUCGGGAUGCUGGUGAGGCAAAUUUGAAAGGUAAAAAGCACCUUGAUAAGCUGAGGUUUACAUGGGAUGGUGACACUCAUGACCCGCAACACGUAACAAGCACUCUUGAGAAAUUAGAGCCAAAUAGAAAGGUGAAGGAUCUUCAGAUUGAUGGUUAUGGAGGUGUAAGGUUUCCGGAGUGGGUAGGAGAGUCCUCUUUCUCAAAUAUAGUGUCUUUGAGGCUCGUUAGUUGUAAAAACUGCACCUCCUUACCACCGCUCGGGCAAUUAGCUUCUUUAGAGUAUCUCUCAAUUGAAGCAUUUGAUAAAGUUGUGACUGUGGGAUCUGAGUUCUAUGGGAAUUGUACUGCUAUGAAGAAGCCAUUUGAAUCGCUCAAAGAAUUAUCUUUUAAAUGGAUGCCAGAGUGGCGCGAGUGGAUUUCAGACGAAGGCAGCCGGGAAGCCUUCCCUCUUCUAGAGGUGCUUUCAAUCGAAGAAUGCCCCCACCUUGCAAAGGCCCUACCUUGUCACCACCUUUCACGUGUAACAAGUCUUACAAUUCGUGGAUGUGAGCAGCUCGCGACUCCACUUCCUAGGAUUCCUAGGCUGCACUCUCUCUCUGUUUCUGGAUUCCACUCCCUAGAGUCCCUACCCGAGGAAAUUGAGCAAAUGGGUUGGUCACCCUCUGAUUUAGAGGAAAUUACAAUCAAGGGCUGGGCUGCUCUCAAAUGCGUCGCACUGGACUUGUUCCCCAACUUAAAUUAUCUUUCUAUCUAUAACUGUCCAGAUCUCGAAUCACUAUGUGCACAUGAAAGACCUCUCAAUGAUCUCACCUCUCUCCAUUCUUUGUCUAUCUCGCGGUGCCCUAAAUUAGUUUCAUUUCCCAAAGGAGGGUUACCUGCUCCAGUCUUGACACGACUUAAGUUAAAAGAUUGCUGGAACUUGAAGCAGUUGCCUGAGAGCAUGCAUUCCCUCCUCCCAUCCCUUGACCAUUUGGAAAUAAAUGGUUGUUUAGAAUUUGAGUUGUGUCCAGAAGGGGGUUUUCCCUCCAAAUUACAAUCACUUCGUAUUUUCGAUUGCAACAAACUAAUUGCAGGCCGCAUGCAAUGGGGCUUGGAAACGCUCCCUUCUCUUUCACACUUUGGUAUUGGUUGGGACGAAAAUGUUGAAUCCUUCCCUGAAGAGAUGCUGCUGCCCUCAAGUCUUACAUCUCUUAAAAUCGAUUCCCUAAAACACCUGAAAUCUCUUGACUACAAGGGGCUUCAACACCUCACCUCUCUUAGAGCAUUGACUAUAAGUAACUGCCCUCUGCUUGAGUCCAUGCCAGAAGAAGGGUUGCCCUCCUCCCUUUCUACUCUUGCAAUUUACAGUUGUCCUAUGCUGGGUGAAAGUUGUGAAAGGGAGAAAGGUAAAGAUUGGCCCAAGAUUUCUCACAUUCCUCACAUAGUUAUUAGGAGACCAACAUAUUGAGGUAUUGCUACUAAAUAGUUUAUUUUCUUUUCAGUAAUCACAUUCCUUACAUACAUAUUGAGGCAAUUUCAGUUAAAAUUUGGAUGAAUGAAAUACAGAUAUUUUCAUACAUACAUAUCGUCCAAAAUGUUUUUAUUUGUUGUUUGUUGAAAUACAGAUAAUUUCUUCCUAUAGUCUCUCAUUCUGUUUCAAUAUCUUUUUUGCUAUAAUUAAUGAUAGGAGAAUCAAAAUAUCUUAAAAAAAUGCUACUAUUGUUCCUCUAUCAAAUGCGGCAAAUAAACAUCACAUGCUUCAGAUUUUGAACUGCCAGCGCCGUCCUUAAAAGACAACGGGCCUAGCAGAGCUGAAAAGGAUUAAAAAAUAUUUAAGUAAUCUGCAACAGAUUUUUCAUUGUUGACGCGGCAAAAUUCAAAAUUCAAAAUUCAAAAUUGAAGUAAUCAAAAGGAUUAAAAUCUCCAUUCUCUCCUUUUCCGCAUCUCCAAAAAUUCAAAAUCCAAAAACUUUUGAUUUUUCAUUUUCUUGAUUAAAAAAACUUUUUUUGAAGUUUACUUGAAUAAAAGAUCUUUUAUAGAUAUAAAAAGAAGAGAUAAUAUAAAAUUCAUCCGCGUAUUGGAAUCACAAUUCAGAAUCAAGUGAAAGCGGCCAAUGGCACUUGCAAAUCUGCUAAUAAUUAUUGGAGCAUCAUCCUUUCGCACAAUCAACAGAAAGGAUUAAAGCACAGAAAGUCAUCAUCUUGAGAACUCACAGCAAAGAGUUCAUUGUUUUGCAGUAGAUACGUAGCUAUAUUAACAACAAUACUUCCAGCAUGCACAAAUGCGACUUCUUGAUGGUUACGCUGCUAAAGACAUUUACAAAUCCCCAUCAAUACUGGUGUUUAUUCCUCAUGAUGAUCCAGUGAGCUGACAAUAAAAGAAAACCUCGGCAUUACUAGUAAAUCGUCACUGCAAGCAUAAUGCAAGCAUGGAAGAGAUUCAGGUAGGAAUUACCCUUGUCUUCAUUGAGAGGCUUUAACCUCCCUAGCUCCUUCAUCAGCAGGCCCAUUGUUUGAUGCAUCCUCUGAAGCGUCUAAGCAAGGAUUGCUUUUACACUGACUUACAGGCUGAGCAUUGGUCAAGAAACUAGAAAGUUGAGACCCCCUUUGCGAAAAGUUUGGUUUACCUUUCGGAGUCUCAGACAGGCAUCCCGUUGACAGCUUUGCUAGGCCCAUUGUCUUGUGCUCACACGGGAGCUUGGUUGAAAAAGGUGAUUCAGGUGUAUCAGGAUGCUUCCCUGGAAUAUCCAUCGGUCUAUGAAACAGCAAAUGAGCCACGGUCCGGUCUACGGGAUUGGUCACUGUUUCCACCUCAGGCAUCUUAACCACCCUGCAGUAUACUCAUAAAAUCCUUGAGGAAAAUGACAGGCAAGUUUGAGAUUGCCAUACUCUAAACAAAUUGAUAAAGACUUGAUUAAGAAUUUUGUGCAAACAAGUUGAAUAAUUUGAAAUGGGAAGGACGAGAUGUAAAGGAACAAACCCAUUGGAACAAGAAACAAUCACAUUGUCGCUUACAACAAAAACUCGAGUUUCAGAUCAAAAGAGCGUAUGGUUUUGGCUGGAAGUGUCCCAUUUAGACAUAGAUGAGCCGAUUAGAAGAUGAUUUGAGUUCUUAAAUUUUCUUGCUUAAAAUAUAAUGUAACAUGAAUCUGCAGAUGAUCAUUAAAUUAGAAGGGAAAUUUAAUUUUGCCCUGUUUAUCUAAAGUUUGAGUUCUCUGCAUUGAUGAUUUCAGUGAAUCUGUACAGAUCUUGUUUUCCUUCUAUUUGACCUUGAAUAAACUUAUUGCACUUGCUUAACAUUCUUUGUCUUUCUCUCUUAGUUAAAUCUAGCAAAAUCUAUCAUGUAUGUUGUGCCACUCAUUUAGACUUGGAUGUGCGUGUUUAGCUCUCCUUUUCGGAUUAAGGUGAUUAUGCACAAAUUCACUGGAAUCAACAUUGCAGAAAACUUGUAUAGAUUUUGUUAAUAUUGGAAAAAUUAAAUUUCCUUUUCUAAUUAAAUGAAAAUCUCUACUAAAUAUUAUGCUAUUUGAAUUGUCACCUCAUGACUACUUGCUGCACUGCACUCAUGAAUGCUGCACCAGGGUAAAGCUACAAAUGUCAGUUUAAUAUCUGCCUCUACCUAGGUCGGCCUACAAUACCAAAGCUUCUCUCCUACAAAUGGCAGUUUAAUAUCUGCCUCUACCUAAGUUGGCCUAUGUACAAUACCAAAGCUUCUCUCAACUAAAUCAAGACGUGAUGACCAGCAUUCUCAAUCAUAACAGAACCAGUGGAAGCGAACUAAGAGGCCGUUUGGCGGUGCUUUCGGAAAAUGCUUCCGAAAAAAUUUUAAAUUUUUUUAUUUUUUUGUUUUGAAUUAAUAUAUUUUUUAUGUUUUCAAAUCAUUUUGAUGUGCUAAUCUCAAAAAUAAUUUUUUUAAAAUAAAAAAUAUUAUUGGCUUCUGAGUGAAAAGCACUUUGAAAAGCAACCACAACUACACUUUCAAAUACAAAUAUCAGUUUAAUAUCUGCCUCUACCUAGGUUGGCCUACAUACAAUACCAAAGCUUCUCUCAACUAAAUCAAGAAAUGAUGACCAGCACUCACAAUCAUAACAGAACCACUGGAAGCGAACUACUACAUAUUUGAUCAACAAGGUCAAAUUCAGUCAAGUUUUUAAGGAAAUCCAGUGAAAGAGGAACCUAAAAUUUUCUGUUUAGAUUUUCUUCUACUGCUAAGAACAAGCGCGGCCUUAAUUGAAUUGUUUCAGUCACUAUUCCUCCAUUGUAAAUAGAGGAUACCGCUUUCAAUAUUUAUUUCUAGAAGGAGAAUGGAAAACAGAAAAUGGCAUUAAAAGAUCCUAAUUUAACAUUUCCAUAGAGCAAAAAUGUUAAAAAAAGAGAGAGGAUAGAUUAAAUUUGAAAACAGAAGCAUGAGAAAUGCAUUGCCUUAACCAACCUUCUUUGACUGCUGGUUUCCUCUUUUGCAGCAACUUGUUCGUCCCUGCUACUAUUGUUUGUACUGCCAGUAUCACUAGCAUAAUGCCUUUGCAUUGCACUUUGAGCCAGCCGGAACAAGCUAUCCCGAAUACAAAAGUCUAAUUCUGACAUCCAACUGUUGUAAAACAUUGGUUUGGAAUCGUAACCAAGCACAAAUUAUUUAGCAGGGAAAGAAUGCAAUAGUACGUGAAGCAUACCUUUGAUAACUUAAUUGAUGCACUAUUGAAGUCAUGACUAAAUCAGGUAAAUCCAUAUUCACCCAACAUCCAAGUUUAUUCUCAUUCCAAAAAAUAAAACUAAAAAUAAUAGCAAGAAAUUGUUGUGUGGUCNNNNNNNNNNNNNNNNNNNNNNNNNNNNNNNNNNNNNNNNNNNNNNNNNNNNNNNNNNNNNNNNNNNNNNNNNNNNNNNNNNNNNNNNNNNNNNNNNNNNCCACCACAUUAAUUAAGGAGGCAGCUGGCUGCCUCUUUGAUUUAAAAAAUGAAACUGCCACUGUAGAGGCAGUAGCAAAAUUUGAGAAGAGAGGAGAAGAAAACCGAGAGAAAGAAAGAAGAGGAGGCAGCAGAGCAGCCUGCGUUCUUUCUUCGAUUUCCAGUUCGUUCACCAUUGGAUCGGGCUGAGAUUUUGACAGCAGCUUCUAGACACGUUCCUCUUCAUUCUGAACGGUUGGAUUGAAGAUUGGUGGAGUGGAAGCUGGCCGUUUUGACAGAAAACGGGGCUGUCAGUAUUGUGAGUUUUUCUCAAAUAAUUCUUCUUUAAUCUUGUUGUAAUCCGAGAAUAAGUAGUUCUUGAUGAUAUAUAUGUUGUAGCCCUUAGUUGAAUCUGAGGAAGAACAAUUGUGAACCCAUUAUUUGUGAUAGUGGAAGUUUUUAGGUGGACUCCGGUCCCGUGGUUUUUCCCGUAUCGGGUUUUCCACGUAAAAAUCUUGGUGUUGAUUUGUGUGAUUGUUGCAUUAUAUUUGUUCAUUGUUUGAUUCUGUUUUUACUGCACAAAGAGGGAAAAAGGAUUGGGACUUGUGAAUUGUGAAUUGUAUUCCGCUGAAUUGAUCCGGUUAGUUGUCCCUAGUUUUCCCAACAAAGUGGUAUCAGAGCAUUUGGUUGUGUAGAUUGAAUUCUUGUGCAGUUAAAAUGGAAAAGGAAGAUUCGGGCAUGAUAAAGCUCACUUCCUCAAAUUAUUUUCUAUGGAAAACAAUGAUGGAGGAUCACUUAUAUUGCAAUGAUUUGGCUUUGCCGAUUGAAUGUAAAGGAAUAAAGCCUGAUGAUAUGGAUGAUGCAAAAUGGAAUGGACUAAAUAGAAAGGCUACCGCUAAUGUUAGAAAAUGGGUAUCUUCUAAGUCCAUUAAUCAUAUUUCUCAAGAACAUGACUGCUAUACAGUGUGGAAGCUGUUGGAAGAAACCUUUGCCAAGGAGAGUGCACAAAACAAGGUUUUUGUAAUUAGAGACCUUGUGAAUUUGAAGUAUAGAGAUGGUGAAGAUGCUUCAGUGCAUAUAAAUAUUUUCCAAGGGUUCUUGAAUCAGCUGUCAUUGAUGAACCUUGAGUUAGCCGAUGAAAUGCAAGCAUUAAUCCUAUUGAGUUCAUUGCCGGAUAGUUGGGAGACUUUGGUAGUGUCACUUAGCAAUUCUACUCCGAAUGGAAAGCUCACUUUAAAAACAGUGAAGGAUUGUAUCCUCAAUGAAGAGAAGAGGAGGAAAGGGACAAGCACUUCCGAGUCUCAUGCACUUGUUAUAGAAAGUCGAGGGAGAAGUCAAAGCAGGUUCUCUCACGGCAAGCAAGAUGGAGAAUCCAGCAAUAGAAAAGGCAAAUGGAAAGCCAAGAGGAAGAUCUCAGUCAAGGAAGGGUUUCAAGUGUUAUUAUUGUGACAAGCCUGGACAUAUGCAAAAAGAUUGCAGAAAGUAUAAAAGAGAUAAAAAGGGUAGAGAUGAAGACAAGAAUGAAGAGAAUGGUACAGCUGCAGUUGUAUCUGAUGGUGAUGUUGCCAUUGUGUGUGAUGAUGGCUGUGUUAAUCUUGCAUGUCAAGAUACCACCUGGGUUGCAGAUUCAGCAGCUUCUUACCAUGUUACACCCCGACGUGAUUUUUACACAUCCUACACUGUUGGUGACUUUGGUCAAGUUAGGAUGGGAAAUCAAGGGAUGGCUAGUGUUGUGGGCAUUGGAGAUAUUUAGUUGGAAACCAAUACUGGGUGCAAGUUGCUACUCAAAGAUGUUAGGCAUGUGCCUGAUAUGCGCCUACAUUUAAUCUCUACAGGUACUCUUGAUGAAGAAGGCUAUCACAGUUACUUUGGAGAUGGUAAAUGGAAGCUCUUCAGAAAUUCCUUGAUUGUUGCUAAAGGGAAGAAGAUGGGUCUCUACAUGUCACAAGCCAAGGUGAUCAAAGGGGAGGUGAAUGCAAUUGAAGAUUGCUCUACUGAUCUAUGGCAUAAGCGGCUUGGACAUUUGAGUGAGAAAGGCCUUGGCAUCCUUGCCAAGAAGAACUACCUUCCAUUGAAAGGUAUGAACUUGAACACAUGUACUCAUUGUUUAGUUGGUAAACAACAUAAAGUUGCAUUUCAAAGAUCACCUUCACAUAGAAGGUCACAUGUUCUUGAUUUAGUUCAUACUGAUGUUUGCUCUAUGAUUGAUAAGUCUCUUGGAGGUGCAUUGUACUUUGUUAGUUUUAUUGAUGAUCACUCCAGGAAGAUUUGGGCCACUUGUUUGAAAUCCAAAGAUCAGGUGCUUGAUGUCUUUAAGGAUUUCCAUGCCAGAGUUGAAAGAGAAACUGGUAGAAAGCUGAAAUGUGUUCGAGCAGACAAUGGUGGUGAAUACAUGGGUCCUUUUGAAAAGUACUGUAGGGAACAUGGUAUCAAGUUGGAGAAGACCGUUCCUAAGACUCCACAACAGAAUGGAGUGGCUGAGAGAAUGAACAGAACCAUUGUUGAAAGAAUUAGAUGUAUGCUCUCUCAUGCAAAGCUGCCUAAGUUCUUUUGGGGUGAGGCAAUGAAGACUGUAGUUGCCAUGAUCAACCUUUCUCCAUCAGUUCCUCUUGAGUUUGAUGUUCCAGAUAGAGUUUGGAAAGGAAAGGAUGUUUCCUAUGCACACUUGAGAGUGUUUGGAUGCAGAGCAUUUGUACAUGUUCCAAGGGAUGAAAGGUCUAAGCUUGACAGCAAGACAAAGCAGUGUAUUUUCUUGGGAUCUGAAGAUGAUGAGUUUGGCUAUAGGUUGUGGGAUCCAAAGGAGAAGAAAAUUGUGAGAAGCAGAGAUGUUAUCUUCUUUGAAGAUCAAACCAUUGAAGACUUUGAACUGAAGGAGAAAACAGAGUCUACUACUUUUAUUCCAUCUAAUUCAAAUCCAAGACCUACUCCACAGUUACCUUUGAUGCUUGCUAAUCAUGGGGGAAGAUUGCAAAAUGAUGAUAANNNNNNNNNNNNNNNNNNNNNNNNNNNNNNNNNNNNNNNNNNNNNNNNNNNNNNNNNNNNNNNNNNNNNNNNNNNNNNNNNNNNNNNNNNNNNNNNNNNNNNNNNNNNNNNNNNNNNNNNNNNNNNNNNNNNNNNNNNNNNNNNNNNNNNNNNNNNNNNNNNNNNNNNNNNNNNNNNNNNNNNNNNNNNNNNNNNNNNNNNNNNNNNNNNNNNNNNNNNNNNNNNNNNNNNNNNNNNNNNNNNNNNNNNNNNNGAGAUGAAAUCCUUGCAUGAAAACCCAUACCUUGAGUUAGUGAAAGCUUCCUAAAGGUAAGAGAGCACUCAAGAACAAAUGGGUGUUCAGGUUGAAAAUUGAUGAACAUUGCUCACAACCAAGGUACAAGGCAAGAUUGGUUGUGAAAGGUUUCGGUCAGAAGAAGGGUAUUGAUUUUGAAGAAAUCUUUUCACCAGUGGUCAAGAUGUCUUCAAUCCGAGUUGUGCUUGGCUUAGCUGCUAGUUUGAAUCUUGAAGUUGAGCAACUUGAUGUGAAAACUGCCUUUCUCCAUGGUGAUUUAGAUGAGGAAAUCUACAUGGAACAGCCUGAAGGGUUUGAAGCAAAAGGUAAAGAGCAGUUAGUUUGCAAGUUGAAAAAAAGCCUAUAUGGGUUAAAGCAAGCUCCAAGACAAUGGUACAAGAAGUUUGAUUCUUUCAUGGUGGAUCACGGUUAUGACAGGACCACUUCUGAUCAUUGUGUAUUUAUGAAAAGGUUUCCAGAUGGAAACUUUAUUAUUCUCUUGUUGUAUGUGGAUGAUAUGUUGAUUGUUGGCCAUGAUGCUAAGAAGAUUCAGAUUUUGAAGGAAGAGUUAAGCAAGUCUUUUGCAAUGAAAGACUUAGGACCAGCAAAACAGAUUCUUGGCAUGAAAAUCACACGUGACAGGAAGAAGGAGAAACUUUGGCUAUCUCAGGAGAGAUAUGUUCAAAAGGUACUUGAGAGAUUCAACAUGAGCAACUCCAAACCGGUUUGUUCUCCACUUGCAAGCCACUUUAAACUAAGUUCUAAGCAGUGUCCUUCAAGUGAUGAGGAAAGAGAUGAGAUGAAAAAGGUUCCUUAUGCAUCCGCAGUUGGUAGCUUGAUGUAUGCCAUGGUUUGCACAAGGCCGGAUAUAGCUCAUGCAGUUGGUGUGGUUAGUCGGUUCCUCUCCAAUCCUGGUAAAGAACACUGGUCAGCAGUGAAAUGGAUACUCAGGUAUCUCAAAGGUACUUUUAGUUUCAGCUUAUGUUUUGGUAAUGAUAAACCUGUGUUGGAUGGAUACACAGAUGCAGAUAUGGCUGGUGAUGUUGAUUCUAGAAAGUCCACAUCAGGAUACUUGAUGAAGUUUGCAGGGGGAGCAGUCUCAUGGCAAUCAAGGUUGCAAAAAUGUGUUGCAUUAUCCACUACAGAGGCUGAAUAUAUUGCUCUUACUGAAGGGGGCAAAGAGUUGUUAUGGAUGAAGAAGUUCUUACAUGAACUUGGCCUAGUUCAAGAGAACUUUGUGUUGCACUGUGACAGUCAAAGUGCAAUCCAUCUCAGUAAGCAUCCUACUUUUCACUCUCGAUCAAAGCACAUUGAGGUUAGAUAUCAAUGGAUUCGAGAUGCUAUGGAGAUGAAGUCAUUUGUUGUUGAGAAGAUCCAUAUCGAUAACAACGUGUCAGACAUGAUGACCAAACCUCUACCGAGAGAGAAGUUUGAGUUUUGCAGAAGGGAAGCAGGCUUGUCAGAGCCUCCUAAAUUGAAGCUUACAUGUUGAUCGCCAGUAUGGCGAAUUCCUCACAUGGUGCGUGAGGGGGAGAUUUGUUGUGUGGUCCCGCACCAUGUGAUGGGGGGACCACCACAUUAAUUAAGGAGGCAGCUGGCUGCCUCUUUGAUUUAAAAAAUGAAACUGCCACUGUAGAGGCAGUAGCAAAAUUUGAGAAGAGAGGAGAAGAAAACCUAGAGAAAGAAAGAAGAAGAGGCAGCAGAGCAGCCUGCGUUCUUUCUUCGAUUUCCAGUUCGUUCACCGUUGGAUCGGGCUGAGAUUUUGACAGCAGCUUCUAGACACGUUCCUCUUCAUUCUGAACGGUUGGAUUGAAGAUUGGUGGUGUGGAAGCUGGCCGUUUUGACAGAAAACGGGGCUGUCAGUAUUGUGAGUUUUUCUCAAAUAAUUCUUCUUUAAUCUUGUUGUAAUCCGAGAAUAAGUAGUUCUUGAUGAUAUAUAUGUUGUAGCCCUUAGUUGAAUCUGAGGAAGAACAAUUGUGAACCCAUUAUUUGUGAUAGUGGAAGUUUUUAGGUGGACUCCGGUCCCGUGGUUUUUCCCGUAUCGGGUUUUCCACGUAAAAAUCUUGGUGUUGAUUUGUGUGAUUGUUGCAUUAUAUUUGUUCAUUGUUUGAUUCUGUUUUUACUGCACAAAGAGGGAAAAAGGAUUGGGACUUGUGAAUUGUGAAUUGUAUUCCGCUGAAUUGAUCCGGUUAGUUGUCCCUAGUUUUCCCAACAGAAAUAUGAAGAGACGAAGAGGAAUUUAAAUAAUAUAAUUUCUCUUUUCUUUCGCCAUUUUCCAUUCCAGAGAAUUACUCAGGAAGUCUUAAUAAGUUCAAGUGUAAGGUAACUUUUACCCUUCCCAGCUCUAGUUAGGUUUCGCUGUCCCUCCAGUCUAAUUUAAGAUCUAUUAUGUGGAAACCACACUGUAUUAGUGAAAGGAUCACAAUAUCAAGAUUUUCCAACUUCAAUUCCCUGAUAUAACUUUUCUUGAAUCCGGGACAAAAGAACUUGGAACAUCAAAAGAUGGAAUGAUCACCAGGAUAGAAUCCAGUAUGAUGGAAUGAUCAUUUGUUCACAUUAGUGAAAGGAUCAUUUGUUCACAUUCCGAGGAUCGAUCGCCCUAAUACCACUUGUAGCAAGUAUGAUGGAAUGAUCUCCCACCAGGAAAGAAUCCAGGAGGACUGUUAGGUUACUACACUGAUUUGCGGUUUACAAUGGAGUCUACUAAUCACAGGGAUCAAUAAACUCGCAGGCCAUAUAACAGAAACACUGGAUGAUAGGGAAUAAAGAAGAAGAGAGAGGAGAGAAGGACAUAAAUUGGUUAAGCCACCAUUUUUCGUUCUUCUAUUUUCACGCAGGCAGUGUGUUACAAAUGCUAACUGAAAGAGCGGCUAAUAACAACUUCCAAUUAUCAAGCAACAGCCAACACGUGGCAAGAGUCAUCAAAGAAACAGCAAGUAUGAUAGAAAGAUAUCAUAUAAAUAUUUUUUUUUUGUGACAUAAUACCCCUACGAUCUUCUAAUGGCCAUACGGUGCGUUUAGUAGGAUUCAAACAUCUUCCAACGGUCACUAGAUUCAAAUUUGGAGCAAAGAUAUCAUAUUAAUAUAUAUUUUUUUUCUUUUAUGAAAAUCUUAAAAACAUAUCUUUCUCACUAGCACAUAUAUAGUCAUCACAACUAAAAUAUACAUUUUUAAUAACGUGAUUAUAUAAUGAGAAGGAUUAAUUUGUGUGAUAAAGCCAUCACAAAUAUCUGAUGUAAGAACAGAGGAAGUUACAGCUUCCUAUCAUAAUUAUCAUGGCCAAUUAAAUUUGCAUCAUCAUGAUGCAUUAUCCAAAAUCCGAAACGUACAUAUUUAUCUUGCGCUGCUAAUUCAUUUUAUUCUUUCCAACUUUAUUUUUUUAACUGAAAAAUAAUCUUUUAUUCUUGUACUGCACAGGCAUGUGUUGGCAAAAGUCGUGCGCGAUAUAUAUUUCUGAAGAUACAUAUGGCUGGUGAUUAGCGGAUGAUGGUGUCAUUAAGCCUCUUGGUGUGUCCCCUCAUCCUUUCUGCUUGUCGUCUAGUCCAUUUGCAGCUUCAAUGGCUACUAUCAGUUGCUUUGGAACCUGAUAUCACUAGUCUCAUUAUGGUACAGACAAGCUCAGGAUGAUCAAUCCUUGAGAAUCCACAUCCAACCAGAAAUAAACAGAAUUUCGAGCAUAAAUGACUCGAGGAAACACUAUCACCAUUAGUUUGGGAAUCAGAAACACUAUCAUAAAUGCUAGGUCCCCACUUGUCAGGACUGCUUUGGCACCUCCUUCAAUCCUAGUUUGGGAAACAGAAGCACUCUAUCACCAUUAGUUUUCACCGAGGAAGACAGCACCCCCAUUCCCUCCUCCUGUGCUGAUGAGAGAGAGAUACAAAGGAUUUGCCCAACAUUGAAGUAUGCAACUGUCUAUGGUUAGCCUUCCACUUUCGUGAUGCAAGCAGCAACCAAGCCUUUCCUCACUGUCAGGUUUGCUAUUUUGCAAGUAGACAAGAACCCCAGGGCACUGCAUAAAGAAAUGAUUGAUUCACGAAGCCUGACUCCUUUGAAUUUGAAAGGUUAGAAUCAUUGGAAGAGAAAGAAGAAAGGGUGUAAAUGACAGUGGAAUGCUAUUAUACCAUCUGCCAAGGUAAUGCCAAGUCUAGUUGCGAGGUAUUUAUAUCAUAAUUGUUAAAUAUUAGAUUGUUGCCGCAUACCAAGCAAAGAGGUUUGUUUCUUUGAAUAUUAGAGGCAAGAUGCCUCCCUCCUGCUGCAAGCAAUUAGAAUUGUAUCACCAGGCCUAUAAGGAACAGUAACCAAGAUCAGUUUUUCUUUUCCGACUGAAAAAUACAUGAAGAGAGAAGUCACCAUAUGUACCUAGCCGCAGAGACAGCUGUUUCAGUGCUGGGGAAAACUCCAGGCUCUGAUAAAUCUUUGGCAGAUCGUUCAUCUCGGAGCCACAUGCGAGGAUGACAUGCCAAGUAGCGGUUGGAGUUCUUUAACAUCUUGAAAACCACAGAGCCAAAUGUAGUGUCACCUAAUAUAAUAAUUGGAAACCUAUGCAACCACUGCCAAUCCAGUUCUUUAACUUAAGUCUCUCAUUGAAAGUCUAUCAAAUCUUCUUCAGUUUUCGAAUCCUAAGUAAGCAAUGCGAAAGUUAAAUAAAUUUAUCAAGUUCACUGCCAUAAUUCACACCAAUUCCGCUCUCCAAAUCUUGUUGGAGUGGGUUAACUUAAAUCAACUAAAUUGAUGUAACUUUAAGAUUAUUUUAAAAAAAUUAAACUGAUUUUUUAUAAAAUUAACUAAGUUUUAUUAUAUCAAAUUAAAUUAUAUCUAAUUUAAUUUAAAAUUCAAUCCAAGAUAACAAAUUAUUAUAUUAACCUACAUUAAACAUUAAACGUACAAAACUUUAUUACUUUAGAUGGGUAGGGCAUGUCUUGGACAGAGUCAAAUCAAAUUGUUAAUCUUUUUUCAUCAAGGAUGAUCAUAUCCAGCCCAUUAAUCUUAAAUAUGGCUAUAAAACCUUUCACUGGCCAUAAAAAAUAAAAUCAUAGAGGCCCAUCAAUGAUUUUAGGUUCAAUUUUAUAAAAGACACUCCAAUAACACUGUCUAAUCUUUAUUUUUUAAAAUAUUUUUUUAUUUAAGAUAUAUUAAAAUUAUUUAAUAUAUAUAUAUAUAUAUUUUUUUUUUUUUAAAAAAAAAAAAACUUUGUAUCACCCCAAAAACGAAGUAACAGUGAAUAAUAAAAGUAAACCAUGACAGAAAGCACGGAUACCUUUAACGGCAACCACGCUUCGAUUCACGGUGUUUUCAGCCGCGCGAUCGAUGCCUGGCGGAGUUGGUAGACGACAGGUCGACACAGAGCUACAGGUACUACAUUUCUUGAAGGACAGUUUUGGAAAUGCACAAAGACCGUGGCUAUGAUGUGGCUGACACAGAACUCACUCGCUCACUCAUGGAGUUCCGUUCCAUUUUUGGAAAUUGCCCUGAUCUUGAUAGCCUCCGCUUCUCUAUUUCUCUCCGCUCCAAUCCGUACAACAAGGUAUGCUCAUUUCGAUUAUUUUGUUGAAUAUUUUAACCACGUUUAUGAUAUUGAUUCUUAUAAUAAUAUUUUAAUGUUUUUUUUUUAAUUUAAUUUGUUUAUUUUCAUGGGGGGGUUUUUAUGUAGAGAACAUAGGAAGUGUAAAGGUGGCAACUUUUUUGCUUUAUUUUAUACUGUAUUUAAAGCCAGUGCCUUUUGAUUUGGUUUGGAAGUAUACUGUUUAAAAUUAAUGUGUUUUUGUUUUGUUUUGAUUAAUUUAAAGAACCCUUUUUGAAGAGAAAAAAGGCAAAGGAAUUAGCUUUUUGAGUUUUGGUUUGUUGAAAAUGGGUUGGUGCAUAUGCAAACAAAAGGGUGUUCUAUGAUUUUUGUUUUUUAAGAUUUAUUAUGGGUUUUGUUUGUUUAAUUUAAUAAAGAAACCUUUUUGAACUUUGAAGAGAGAAAUUCAAUCGUGCUCUUUUUUUAUUGCUUAUUUCUUGCAGUUUUAUGACUUAUUCUAGGGGUAAGCAUCCUAUUUUUUUUACAAGUUUUGCUCUUUGUAGGAAACAUUGCUUGAUGAAUUGUUAAGAAAUUUUGGGAUCAGUUUUUUUUUUUUCUUUUUUACUCAUUUGAAGUUUUCUUAAAAAUCUCAUGCUUGUAGGAACUUGUAAAGGUUGGAAUUCUGAUAAAAGAACAGCUCUUGUUUAAGUAAUUUCUGCAAGCAAAAUUUGUAUGGAAAUCCUAGUCAUAAUUUUUUUUUUAAUCUGUUCUGCAGAACCUGGUCAUCUUCAUGGGAACUGAUGAAAUUAGAACAGCAAAUAUCAGGGCUGUAUAUGGUCAAAUUCUUAGCAAAGAGAGUAGACAAGGGCUGAUACUGAUCUUGCAAAGCAAAAUGAACCACUUUGCCAAGAAAGAGCCGGAGAAGUUUCCAUUCAAAGUGAAGGUUUUUCAAGUACAUCCCCCUGUUGUCUAAAUAAAUUUUCAUACUGCAGAUUUGUUGUAAGACAAUUAGAAAGAACUUUGGGUGGCCAGACAUUUUAAAGAACGAUGCUAAUUUCUAGCCACAAGGAGGUCAUGCUACAACCGAUUAGUUGUCUAAAUGCUAAUUUUCAUACUGCAGUUUUUUUUUUUUUUUGGUGAAGUUGUCGGUGGAUGAGAAAAUACUGAGUUUGGACCGUAAAUUGUAAUGGGUCUCACAACCACAAAUCUAUGAUUCAUAUGUAACCAAAUAUCUUGUUUUUGUUAUCUGUGUUAAAAGCAAAAGCCGCUAAAAACCAAAAACACUUGCUUGUUGAACAUGUUUUUAAAUUGUUUUCUUAACUAUUUUUUUUAUUUAAAAAAACAUUAAUAGAUGAAUUUUAAUAAUUAUAUUUAUAAAGAAGUUUUGGAAUAAAAUGAUAAGAGAAGAGGAGAGAAGACAUGAAGUGAAGUGUUCUUCUGCAUUAUGAGCACAUCACGUGAAAAGAAAGAUUGGCAUAUAUAUAUAAUAAAAGUUAUUCCAAUCAAACCCACUUUUUCGACGAUGGGAUCUCUUGGCAAAUAAAGCGAGGACAAACCGAGUAAAAUGUGGGACCUAACUCCAAUUUCCUAGCACCCGCAAGUCCGCAACCCACGCAUACACAAGCCCGUACUUUAUCAAUGAAUGAAAAGUGAUAAAAGAAGAGGAAGAUAGAAGAAAUAAAGGCCCCGUUUGUUUGCUGGAAAGUAGUUUUUUUUUGGAAAGUAAAUUUCAGGAAAGUGAAUUCCGGGAAAGUAUUUUCCGAUGUUUGGUAGUGUAAUGGAAAAUAAGUUGGAAAACACUUUCCAGUGUUUGGUUAUGUCAUGGAAAAUGAGCUGGAAAAUAACUUAUUAAUGUUUUAUUUUUCUCAAGUUUAUUAAAAUAAUGAGGAACAAAUCUUACAAAUUAAAAAGUUGAAUGAGAAUGAAAUUAAAAAAAAUAUAAUUUCAUAAAUUAUCUCAAAUAAAAUAAAUAAUAAUCAAAAUAAUAGAGAUCAAAUCUAAAAAAUUAAAAAAAAAUAAAAGGUGAAGAAAUUAAAAUAAUAAUAAUUAACAUUUCAUAAAUUAUUUCAAAUAAAAUAAGUAACAAUCAAAAGAAUGAAGACCAAAUUUGAUAGAUAAAAAAUUUCAAUAAAAAAUGAUAAGGAAAAAGCAAAUAGCAAUUAUAAAAAUAAGGACCAAAAUUAAUAUAAAAAUUAAAUUUUAAGAGAUGGAAUUGAAAAAUAAAUAUUCAAAACAAAUUAUAUAUAGCAAUCAAAAGUUUGAGGAUCAAAUUUGAUAUAAUCAGCAAAUAAUGACAUUUCUAAAUUUUUCACAACUUCUGGAAAGUGUUUUCCACCCAAAUUUUUCAGAAAAACACUUUCCUGAAAACCAAGCCAAAUUUUCCUUUGACUGGAAAGUGUUUUUCGUUGACCAACUUUUCUAAUGGCAAACAAACACAAGAAAGUUUGGAAAGUGGUUUCCCGGAAAUCACUUUCCGGAAAACAAACACAGCCAAAAGGGAAAACACUUUCCUGAAAACCAAACCAAAUUCGAAAAGUAUUUUCGUUGACUAGAAAAUGUUUUCCGUUGACCGAAAAGUGUUUCCGUUGACCGGAAAGUGUUUUCCGUUGACCAACUUUCCUAAUGGCAAACAAACACAGGAAAGUUUGGAAAGUGGUUUCCCGGAAAGUGAAUUCCGGAAAACAAACAUGGCCAAAGUGAAGUCUUCUUCUGCAUUAUUAGCACAUCACGUGAAAAGAAAGAUUAUAUUGCGUAUAUAAUAAAAUGUGGGACCUAACUCCAUUUUCCUAGCACCCGCAGCCCACGCAUACAAAAGCUCAUACACACACAUUUUUUUUUUAUUCGAGAAAACCUCACCUUCCGGAAAGUGUAUUUUGUGGGUCCAGGUGAGUGAGUAAAACCCCGGUUAUCCCAGGCUCUUACAAGAGGUGCACGCCCUGACUCGAACUCGAGACCUCCUGUGCAGAUCUCAAACCCUUUGCCAUCACGCUACGCCCCUUGGGGACUCAUACACACACAUCCAAAACAAUAUUCAUAAAAUUAAUUAACAUAGAUUAUGAUAUAAAAAAAUUACAUUUGUUAGCAAAAUACACGUAUUAUAUAUACAUAUACACACACAUAUGCCCACACUCCGCCAUGAUAUUUUUCUUCUAUUAUUGUAUUGGUUGUCAAACCCAAGUCAUUUGGGUCCGACUUGAUUCCAGACCCAUGACACUUGGAUCUGACAUGCAUAAUUGCGAGACCCAAGUCGCUUGAAUCUGACCUAAUUGCUAGACUUAAGCCACUUGGGUCUGGCGUGGUUACCAGACUCAAGCUGUUUGGGCCUUUAUUUUUUUUCUUUUGAUAAUUGUGCGGAUGACAUGUCGUUCGCCACAGUUGAAUUAAAAAAAAAGACAUGUUGCUCAUCAUACCCAAAUUCUGGCCACCAUAGUUGCCGAAAACUCAGGGUAGCUAGUUUUUUUCUUUUAGAAAUCUAUUCUCAACCCAAAGCACCUAAAAAUCACAUUAAUAACCUUUUUAAACCAAUUCUUAACUCCAUAAGUGCAAAAAACUGGUCACAAACCCAAAAUCAACCAAAAAACCAAUUUCUUCUAGAUAUCAUAUCCAAUUGUUUUAGGCACUUUAAAAGUAAAAAACACUAAAGCCAAACUUCCAUCGUUAUAUGCAACCAUUUGAAACAAAACUCUAACAUUUUGGUAGUCGGAAUCAAAGAAAUGAUGUUUUUCUCCUUUUAGACCAUCCCAUCUCUCUCUCCUCUCACCCAUCAGUACUUAGAUCUGGAAAACCCUGACAGCCCAAGGCCCUUGGGCCUGGUGUGGGUGUUAGACCAAUAGCGCUUGGGCCUGACGCCUAAGAUUUGCAUAAUUUUCAUGAGCCAGAUAAAUGUAAUGGUUUUGUUAAGGACCAAAAUAGUCAUGAAAAGUGCUGAAUGGCCUGAGGAUAACUGAUAAUUCCUUGUGAACCUCUGAUGUAUUGUUAAGAAAAAAAAUAAAUACCUCUGCCAAACACCUUGGGUCUGACAAGAUUUGGACUUGACAUAGUUGCCAAACUCGUAACGCUUGGGUCUAGCAUGGUUGCAGACCCAUGGUAUUUAGGACAUGUUAGAAGUUUAGGGAAAGUUACACUAUGGUUCUCUAAUUUUUAAAUAAACAUAAAUUAUAUAAUUUUUGUAUAUAAACAAUUGUCGAAUUUAUUAUAGCAAAAAUAUCUGGGCAAGUAUUUUGACUUGUGAGACAUCAACACAUGCCUCUUGUUUGUUGAACAUAACAUGGUUUGAACUUAAAGAUUUUUUAAAAAUUAUUGUGAAAGCGUAGGUAAGGCAUUUAGUUUGAAAUCAUGAAAAAAAAACAACAAUAUAUGAAAGAAUAAAAUAAUGAGAAAAAUUUGAAAAUACAGGUAAGAAACAAACCUAGAACGCAAGAGUAGAAAAGUUUGGAGCUAAAAAGAAAAGAAAACCACGGGUAAAUAAAAUCACAUAUAAAUAUAUUUUCAUAACAAAAAAAUAAAAUACUUGUUGAUGUGUGUAUCAAUGAGCUAAACCCAAAUGGCUAAUUAAUCAAAAUAUGGAAUAUGUAAUGUUAUGUUGGUUGUUGCAUGGUUAUCAUGCAAAAGAAAUGGGCCACACAUAUUAAAAAAAAAAAACAACAUAAAAUGAACCAAUCAAAUCCAAGAGAAAAGGUCUAGAAAUUUAUAGAGCAAACAAAUUUAUGAGUCAUAAUAUAGUUGAUUAAUAUAUUAAAGAAACCAAAUAAUCGUAACCGAACAAUUUUAAAGCUAUUUGAAGUGUCGAAAAAUGUUGUUUUUAAAUAAAAAAAAAAUUGUCAUAGCAGCAAAUUCUAAUCUAAUCAAUGAGCAGAAACCAAACCUAACAAGCCAUUUAAGAGGAAAAUAAGAUGAUGAUAUUUUCUAAAAAAAUAAAAAAUUUAAUUUAAUUUUAAUCAGGUUAAUUUAUUCUUGGAUUUACGUACUAUAUUAUAGAUCAAUAAAUCAUCAGCAGUUUAAUUCAUUCAUUGAAGCGAGCCGGGUUUAAUGGUAGUGCUUUCUUUACGGUGUCUUUGUUCUUGUGCCUCAGGGCUCUAUCUGAGCUCUACAUCUCCUGCUUUCAUGCAUCACCUGCACUCUUUGUUUUUGCUCUUGUUUUUUUCUAUUUUAUCGCAACUUUGUAAAGUUUGGAUAUAAAGUGUUUUUAAGAUUUAUUUAUCGAAGAAGAUACUGUUUACAAGUGUAUGAAAGGUACGUAGUAAUGAAUAUUUGAUUUCUUUUUUAUGAAAACUAGAGAACUAUAUUAAAAGAAGAAAAACUGCUAUUUAUCAAGAAUUAAUUAAUUUCAUCGAUUAAUCAAUUCUUUCUAUUGACAUUGAUCGAUACCAAACAUGUUAAUUCAUAAUUAAUACAACCAAGUAAUUCUAUACAAAAUUUACUGAUAUAAUUCAUUUCGGCUUAAACCUUUGAAUUAAUAUAGCCAAAUGCAGAGAGGUUAUGAAAGUGAAAGGACCUUAACAAUUUUGAUCCCAUUUAAUUUUAUGAAAACUAGAGAUUAACUAUAUAUAUUAAAAGAGAUGUGCUAGGUUUUUUUAUUUAAAAAUAUGGUAGCGUUUUUUAUUUAAAAAUAUAGUAGCUUUUUUAAAAUACUUUUUAUUUAAAAAUAUAUUAAAAUAAUAUUUUUUAUUUUAAAAAAAUUAUUUUUAACAUAUAAAUAUUAAAAUAAUUUAAAAACAUAAUUUUUUAAUUUUUUUUUACCGAACUUCCAUAUGUAAAGCCAUACUUAAAUGGGCGCUUCAAAAGAAAGAGGGAAGGUGACAUUUUACUGCCCCUCGAUCCUCUCUCUCCUACCUGCAGCAGUCAGCAACCCUUACUAGAUAUUCAUGGCGUCUUCUUCUUCUUCUUCUUCUUCUUUGUCUAGACCUGGUUGGGGUUACGAUGUAUUUCUAAGUUUUAGAGGUGAAGAUACUCGCAAAAAUUUUACGGAUCAUCUUUACACUGCUUUACACCAUGCAAGAAUCCAUGCAUUUCGAGAUGACGACGAACUUCGUAGAGGUGAAGAAAUCUCCUUGCAACUCCUCAAAGCAAUUCAAGAAUCCAAGAUUUCUAUAGUGGUUUUCUCUAAGGGCUAUGCUUCCUCCACUUGGUGUCUUGCUGAACUUGAAAAGAUUCUUGAUUGCAGACACACAACUGGCCAGAUUGUUCUACCUGUUUUCUAUGAUAUCGAUCCUUCUGAUAUUAGAAAACAGACGGGGAGUUUUGCUGAAGCCUUUGAUAGACAUGAAGAACGUUUUAAGGAAGAAAUGGAGAAGGUCCAAAAGUGGAGAAAAGCUCUUAUGGAGGCUGCAAAUUUAUCUGGGUUGGAUCUUCGCAGUUUCGCAAAUGGGUACUUUUUUUCUUUCCCUAUAUCCAUAGCAAAUGCUUAUAACUUUUACUCUCAUUACAUUUUGUAUUUUAAAUUUGCAUUAAAUUCAAAAGAUUAUCUUUCAUCCAUGAGUGAUGACUUUCUUUUUCUAUGCACAGGCAUGAAUCAAAAUUAAUUCAAAAGAUUGUUGAAGAAGUUUCUAGUAAACUGAAUCCCAGAUUUUUGUUUGACGAUAUGCCGCUGAAGAGGUUGAAGACAACAAUGAUAUCUGGCGGUGGGCUGCUUGACGAUGCUGAGGAGAAGCAGAUAACAAAUAGAGCUGUGCGGGAUUGGCUGGCCGAGUAUAAAGACGCUGUCUAUGAAGCCGACGACUUCUUGGAUGAGAUUGCUUAUGAAGCUCUACGGCAGGAGUUGGAAGCUGAAGCUCAAACCUUCAUUAAACCACUUGAAAUAAUGGGGUUGAGAGAGAUAGAAGAAAAAUCAAGAGGCCUCCAGGAGAGUCUAGAUUACUUAGUAAAACAAAAGGAUGCCCUUGGUUUGAUCAACCGCACUGGAAAAGAACCAUCAUCGCCUAAAAGACGAACAACUUCUCUGGUGGAUGAACGUGGUGUUUAUGGUAGAGAUGAUGACAGGGAAGCAAUACUGAAGUUGCUUCUAUCAGAUGAUGCAAAUGGACAAAACCUAGGUGUCGUUCCCAUAGUGGGAAUGGGCGGGGCUGGUAAAACCACGCUCGCUCAGCUUGUAUACAAUCACAGCAGAGUACAAGAGCGGUUCGGUCUCAAAGCUUGGGUUUGUGUUUCAGAAGAUUUCAGUGUUUCGAAGUUAACCAAGGUUAUCCUUGAGGGGUUCGGUUCAAAGCCUGAUUUUGAUAAUCUGGAUCCCCUCCAGCUUCAGUUGAAGGAGAGAUUGCGGGGAAAGAAAUUCUUGCUUGUUUUAGAUGACGUUUGGGAGGAAGAUUAUGCUGAGUGGGACAAUUUGCUUACCCCCCUGAAGUGCGGAGCACAAGGGAGUAAGAUUCUUGUCACAACACGGAAUGAAAGUGUAGCAACAGUCAUGAGAACUGUUCCAACUCAUUAUCUAAAAGAAUUAACGGAAGACAGCUGCUGGGCCGUGUUUGCGACUCAUGCAUUUCGAGGUGAAAAUCCCAAUGCUUAUGAAGAGUUACAAGAAAUUGGUAGAGCAAUAGCGAGAAAGUGUGAAGGCCUUCCUCUAGCUGCAAUAACACUCGGAGGUCUGCUACGCACCAAAAGAGAUGUCGAGGAGUGGGAGAAGAUAUUGAAAAGCAAUCUAUGGGAUUUACCCAAUGACGAUAUCCUCCCAGCUUUGAGAUUAAGUUAUCUUUAUCUCCUGCCACAUAUGAAGCAAUGUUUUGCUUAUUGUGCCAUAUUUCCGAAAGACUAUUCAUUUCAAAAGGAUGAGUUAGUGCUCCUGUGGAUGGCAGAGGGCUUCUUAGUCCACUCUGUAGAUGAUGAGAUGGAAAAGGCAGGUGCUGAGUGCUUUGAUGAUCUCUUGUCAAGGUCGUUUUUCCAGCAAUCAAGUGCCUCUCCCUCAUCAUUUGUGAUGCACGAUAUCAUGCAUGACUUGGCUACACAUGUGUCCGGUCAAUUUUGCUUCGGCCCGAAUAAUUCUUCCAAGGCGACUAGAAGGACCCGACAUUUAUCACUCGUAGCAGGUACGCCACAUACUGAAGAUUGUUCUUUCAGCAAGAAAUUAGAAAACAUCCGUGAAGCUCAGCUUCUACGCACAUUCCAAACUUAUCCACACAAUUGGAUCUGUCCUCCCGAAUUUUAUAAUGAGAUCUUUCAGUCAACACAUUGUCGCCUACGAGUGCUAUUCAUGACUAAUUGUAGAGAUGCAUCUGUGUUGUCAUGUUCAAUUAGCAAGUUGAAGCAUUUGCGGUAUUUGGAUCUUUCCUGGUCAGAUUUAGUAACGUUGCCUGAAGAAGCGAGUACUCUUCUCAAUUUGCAAACGUUGAUCUUGGAAUAUUGCAAACAACUUGCUAGUCUACCUGAUCUUGGAAAUUUGAAGUAUUUACGACAUCUGAAUCUUCAAAGAACAGGAAUCGAAAGGUUGCCUGCAUCUCUGGAAAGGUUAAUCAACUUGCGGUAUCUUAACAUCAAAUACACGCCUUUGAAAGAGAUGCCACCACAUAUAGGUCAACUGGCAAAGCUCCAAAAGUUGACUGACUUUCUCGUGGGAAGACAGAGUGAGACUAGCAUUAAAGAAUUGGGAAAGCUACGACAUCUACGGGGAGAACUUCAUAUUGGGAACCUUCAAAAUGUGGUGGAUGCUCGGGAUGCUGUUGAGGCAAAUUUGAAAGGUAGAGAGCACCUUGAUGAGCUGAGGUUUACAUGGGAUGGUGACACUCAUGACCCGCAACACAUAACAAGCACACUUGAGAAAUUAGAGCCAAAUAGAAAUGUGAAGGAUCUUCAGAUUGAUGGUUAUGGAGGUUUAAGGUUUCCGGAGUGGGUAGGAGAGUCCUCUUUCUCAAAUAUAGUGUCCUUGAAGCUCAGUAGAUGUACAAACUGCACCUCCUUACCACCGCUCGGGCAAUUAGCUUCUUUAGAGUAUCUCUCAAUUCAAGCAUUCGAUAAAGUUGUGACUGUGGGCUCUGAGUUCUAUGGGAAUUG